rnacentral:lncRNA from 1 species
AGAAAUCCAUAAGAUGAUAAUUAAUAAACACCCUCUCUUAAUAACAUAACAUAGGAGUCUUUAAACUUAUAUUCUUCAAACAAUUAUAAGCUGUCUUCAACUUUACUGUUAAACUACAAUUAUAAAGAAUUAAGAAUCACACACCAACAACAUUUAUAAGUCAUCACUCACAUGCAACAAGGUGCCUCAAUGUGAAUAAACCAAGAUCAAUAAGAAAUGAGGUUCCACUUAACCAAGCUGAGAAUUUUCUGGUUUUCCAGCUCCAUGCACAAACCUAAUACAAUGAUAUGAUAUUCAAUAUCAAGAGGUACCUUGUCGUAAAACUGAGAAUAUGAGGUUGCAUAGGAUGGAGAAAAGUAAGAAGAGGAUUUACCAAUUACCCUUUCAAAUGCAGCUCCUCAAGAUUUCAUAGUCCCUUCCUUCACUGCAAAUGCAACCCAAAUAUGUUAAAGAAGUUAAUGAAACCGGAAUAUGAAGAGUUUCGAAAUAAAAAUUCAACAUGUUGAAACUUGUAAUUUAGAAGUAUUGACGAUAAGGCAGUUUAGAUCCUGACCAAUGAAAGACUAAUUAGCAGGAGAGAGACUAGUUGACUGGCCUUCCUCUUCCUAUCUUCCCUUGUGUCUCUUGAAGACUGUGCAACAUUGCUUCCACUGGAUUCUUCAAUCUCACCAGCACCACCAUAUUCAUCAUCUUUCUUUUUGGAAUAAAGAGGGCAUAUGCCGCAUUCUUUUAUUGUGAUGCCAACGUCAUAAUCACGCGGACUGAUCUCAAAAGUGAAGCUGCGAGCAUCACAGAGCCUAAGGCUCAUGCCCUUCGCCCUUAGGGACUUCAUGUUAAAUUUCCAAACGAAUGUGUGAUCUUGAUCAAGACCUCUGUCUUCAUAACCCCAUUCGAAAUAGCUGGUGAACACAUCAUUAUUUGGAAUGAUCUGUGUGCCAUCAUCAUCAGAUUCAAAUUUUAGACUGUAACCAAAAGAACCAUAUCCACCUUCAAUAUCAUUCGUAUCUAACACUCCAACUACCACACACAAAGCGAAACCAGUGAGCCUAUCAUCGCUGCAGACACUUAAAUCUUCAUUUAUAGUCACUGAAUCUCCCUUCCCACGAAAAUGGAACCAACCAGGAACUGCACUCCCUGGAAAACAGAAGAACACACACCUAUAUGUAUCGUCGAUCAUCCUAAGCCUUGCAUCCUCCUCAAUGUUAGCACGACCACCUGAAUCCAGUUGUUGAGCAUUGGUGAAAUGAAAUUUGAAGACACCCUCUUUGGAAUUUGACAAGUUUCGAACAAGAGAAUUUGACAUCACUCUUCUAACGGAUGGGCAAUCCAAUGCCACUAGUUGUUUUAGAAAUGGUGGAAUCGGUGGGAUGCAUUCAAGCUUUUCGCAUUCGCUUAAAUCAAGCGAUUUCAAGCUCGAAAGAUGAGCAAAGCUCUCAGGAAGGCUCACGAUUCCGCUAUCACGCAGUGAGAGUUCCAUUAAUGACGUCAAACGACCAACAUGUCUUGGGAUUUCUGUUAAUUUGGCACACCCUGAACAAUCAAGUUUAGAGAGAAGCUUCAGAUUAACAAUGGAGUUUGGAAGUGACUCGAGAUCAAUGCAUUUGCGGAGCUCCAGGGAUCGUAGAUUAACCAAAUUGGCAAAUGAGGAAGGCAGUUCUUUAAUAGCCGUAGAUGUUAAGUUAAUGUGAGCAAAAGUAGGAGCCGGCUCCGUGAUAUCUGGGUAGGUCCUCAGGCUUGAGCAACCACACAAAUCAAGCUUCCUCAACUUCAAAUUGAAAAUGGUGCUUGGAAAAGUUUGAAGUGAAUUACAGUGGGUAAGGUCUAACUUGCAUAGUCCGGUGAGGCUUCCAAUGGAAGAUGGAAUAAUCUCAAGAUUCAAGCAACGGUGCAAACUCAGUUCUUCAAGCCCUACCAAACGUGUCCAAGAUGAAGGUAGUGCCUGUAUGGCUGUGUCGUCUAAGAUGAGCACCGUUAAAUCUUCCAACGUGUCCUGAAUCUCGGGUAAAUUUUCCAAUUUUGAGCAACCCCGGAGAGAAAGUUGCUUUAGGAAUUUCAUAUCAGAAAGAUGAAAUGGAAAGAUUGUAAGAGAAGAACAGUGAGAGAGAUCUAAGCGAUAGAACUGCUUGCGACUAAAGGUUAAGGACACACCUUCCUUGAGUUUUGUGAACACUUUUAAGUGUAUGGUAUUAUUAGCCACUUCUUCUUCCUUAUAUCUGUCAAAAGUAAUUGAGAAAAUUUGACUGGAAGUUGGGAAAAGACCAUGGCGUCGACGUUUACGACGCCGUCGUGAGAAAUUGAUCUCUUUCAUCAUAUCCGGUUCCAGACGAGGGAAUCUUGAGAAAGUUUGACGUUGACGCUCGAGUAUGACAUGAGGGAAUCUGGGUUCACUGGUUGAAAACAUAUUAAGCUUCGGACAACGGGAAAUAUUAAUCCAUCCUGGUGAUGUGGAUAAAAUGUUGCUGGGAAUAUUUACACUUUCGAGAUUAGAACAAUUAUCUAAACAUAAAUAACUGAGCUUGGUGAGGAAUAUCGAGGAGUGAACUUCAAUCAACUUUUCACAAGAACUCAGAAUUAUUUCUUCAAUAUUUGGUGACAUAGAAAGGUCUGGUAUUCUAGUAAGUUUCAGAGAACCAGUCAGGUCGACCCUUUUCAACUUGGGUAAAUUCUGCCACAAAUACUAAAUGAAUGAGGUAACAAAUAAAAACUACUUUAUCUAUUUUUCUUCGGUAAACUAAUUUAUUUUUCAGAAAUGAUGAAAAUUAUAACUAAACUAUAUAAAAUUCCAUUUUAUUCUACUCAUCCUUAAUUUUUUUGUGAAAUCUUGAUUUUGGGAUAAUAUCACUUAAACUUAAGAAAUAUUUGGCAUUAAUGAACUCUAAACAAAUUCAUAUAAGAUAUACAUCACUUUCAAUCCAAAAUCUUAAACUAAUAGGUUUAUGAAUUUUCUUUAUAUGUUGUUUUAAAAAGUUGAGACUAAAUUGAACUUUUGAAAAUUGGGAGGAUGAAAUUAUAUUUUGUCUAUUAAUAUAGGGAUUAAAAAAAUAAUUGAAUCAAAUAUUACUAUUUUUGUGAUGUAUAUUUAUAUAUAAAUAAUUUUGAGAAUUUAGAGUUAUAUCAUAUAUAUAUAUAUAUAUAAAAUUCUUUUUGGUAAUGUAUCCUGUAAUUGUAAGCAAGUAUGAUUAUAUUAAGUGGGUGCGUUUCAAAUAGAGGAGACUACGCACAUACAAAUAUCUCUUAUAAAGUAAGAAAACAAACAAACCGUUACUCAAGAAGAUCAUGUAAUGCAUGACAGACAACAUGGGGAGAUAUCUAUCAUCAAUAAUAAAACGAUGUUUUCUGAGAGUUAAAAUUAAACCUUAUUUAAAAUAAGUCCAUCUUUCCAUAUUUUAUAAUUUGUUGUAUAUUAUAUUGAAGUUUAUGUUAUAAUAAAAAAAAUGACUUAAUUAAUCAAAUAAUGUGGAGAAGGCACAAAGGAAUUGCAAAUGAAAACCAGUAGAUGUAUAAUACAGAAAACAUGCUUGUAUAACUUAUUUUUGUCUUUGAAAGUUUAGAACACAAAGAAACAUAGAUAGCUUGAAAAACCUGAUCUCCUUCCCAAAGUUGUUCAAGAUUGCAGCCUGGCAUUUUGAGGGUCACUAGACUUUGUGGGCAAAAGUUUGGAGGCCAAAAUCUUUGAAGGAAAUUGUCCCAAUAAAGAAUCUUUAAAGUGUCCGGCAGAUCUACAAGAGAUGAUUCAAGAGACUCAUAAGAUUGUCCAUCUUUUCGAAACUUUGUGCAUGUACUACAGCAUCUUUUACUUUGUUCGUAUGUAGUAAUAUACACUGUAUUGCAUCUGACCCCUGAAAGUAAAUCAAUGUAAUUAGAAGAAAAAAACAUGAAAUGUUGCAUUGCAGGAUGUUUGAUGACAGCUCAGUGGUUUGCAAUUUUUCACAAAGUAAAUCCAUGUUCAAUUGAGUAACGACAUAAUACCUUGUUCUUUCUUAAAACCUCUCAAAUUUCCUCAGCAUUAAACAAUCGGCUGCGUUUUCCAGGAUGCUGAGGACACUCUUUACGAACAAUUUCUUGACUCAUUUCUUGUAUUAGAUCGUGCAUCACAAUUCUACCAUCAAAGACAGAUAUUAGGCCCCUAUCUUUGAGAAUAUCCAUUCCAAUCUUAGAAGAGAAACCACAGUCAGCAAGUGUUUCUGCUACCACAAUCUCCUGGCGUCCUCUAUAAAAGCAAGCUAUGUCAAGAAAUAUAUUCUUCUCCUCCUCCUCCAGCCCAUCAUAACUUAAUUUUAAUACAUUGAAAAUAUCAAGAUGUUGGCCCUUUUCCAACUUUUGCAACUGACUCUCCCAUGCUUCUCUUGUUCUGCCAUAAAGCAAUGACCCCAAAAUCUAGAGAGCUAAUGGAAUCCCUUUUGCAUAUCUCAACACCUUUUCUGACAGUUCCCUGUAAGCAAUUUCUUCUGAAGAUUUUUGUUUAAAAGCAAGUAAACUAAAAAGUUUCUGAGAAUCAUCAAAAUUCAACUCCUUAACUUCGUAGAUAUCAUCAGCUCUAGCAUUCUUAAGCACUUGUUUGUCUCUACUGGUGAUAAUCAUUCUACUGCCCUGCCCAAAACUAUCACUCCCUCCUAUUAAUUUUUUAAGUAGAGCUGAAUCGGUAACAUCAUCAAGAAUGAGGAGAGCCUUUGUCCGUUUCAGCCUUUCAUUGUAAUAUGAUAAACCAUGGGAUUUCUUUAUCUCUUCCUUUAGAAGCUCAGACAGAUAUUUUGUUCUGAUACUGUCUAUUCCAUCUUUUUGUAUUUUUUCUUGAACGUCUAAAACAAGGCUGCUGGAACCAAACUGCAAAGCCAAUGUGUGAUAUAUUUGAUAACAAAUUGUAGUUUUUCCUAUUCCUCCCAUGCCACAAAUUCCUAUGAUCCGAACAUGCGGUGACUCAAGAUGCAACAAGGACUGAAUUCCUUCAAUGUGUUUUUCAAUGCCGAUGAUUCCUUGAUCAUAACUGGUGGAAUAACGAUUCAAUUUUCUCAAAAUAUCUUCCACAAUUUCUUCAACAAGUGUGUGUUCUGGCCUGGCAGAUGAUUUAGAAAAUAAAGUAUAAGUAUUCAAGCACAAAAGCUAAACUAAACUAAAGAAAAAAUCAGAGUUAAGAGGAGUGAACAUCAUUGAAUAGAUUCACAUAUCGAUUCUAGUUUCGAGUUUUGGAUAAAAUAAAUAAAUUAAAAAGUUGAAGGUAAGUAUAGGACGUUAUCUUCGUAUAUUAGUUUGGUUGGUUUAGAAAUUGCAAAUCAAGAUGGCAAAAAUACUACAGUAACCGUUUGUGACUUCUGAUAAUAGGGAGCAGAUUUGUAGGUACAAAGUUAAGCUAUAACAUGUGAUAUGGUUCAGAUCCAUGACCGACUAAAAGAAAGACUUGAUUUAUGGUGAGAUGAACACAAUUUUAGUAAAUGAAAAGAAAUCCUGUUUAUCUCGAAAUUAUCUAAUAAAUAUAAUGACCUGGUGACUUUUGAAUCCCAGCCUGAAAGUCCAGCAGCUUCGGUGAGAGCAUCCUUCCAUCCUUGCGCUUUGACCAUGUCGUGCAUAAACCGCUGUUCAUGAUCAUCGAAUGAUUCUUUGUAUCUUUCUUCCUGCUUCCUAAUAGUUGAUGGAUCCACCUUGUAGAAAACAGGUAUCACAUCCCUUCCAAAUCUCUUCUUGCAUUCAAGUAUCUUACUGAGUUCAUUCAAGCACCAAGUGGAAGAUGCAUAGUUUUGGGAGAAAACGAUGACAUAAAUCUUUGAUUCUUCUAUUGCAGAGAGCAGUGCAGGUGAAAUUUCUUCGCCCCUGAGUAGUCUAUAAUCAAUAUAUGCUUCAAUGUUCUUCCUUUGCAGUGCUGCAUAAAGGUGGCUAAUGAAGUUGUCACGUGUGUCUUCGCCUCUGAAGCUGAGAAACACAUCAUGCCUUGUUAGAGAAGUAGACACGGCCAAUGAUGAAGGACUUUCUGACAUUGGAGUCAAUUUUCUCUCCUUUCUCUGCAAUUCUCAGGUCUCUUUCUUUGUACUGUUUCUACCACAAAUCUACUCUGCUGCUCUGGACUCAUUAUAAAACACAAGUCAACUUUUGAAAAAGUCUUUCAAUUUUCUUAACAUUCCUUUCACAGAUAUGUGUUCUGGUCAGACAUCGUAGUCAGCAGAAACUAAAGAAAAAGAAAAAUAUUAAUUUAAUAGAAUAGUCAACAAAUUGCAAAAUAAGUAUGGAAUCUAGAUUUAUAUCAUUAUCACGUGUGGAAACAUAGCUACGUCUUCUUAGAUAAAAUCCUUAUUUAAGUUUUAAUUGGGCCUUGUAGUGGGCUUUGUAAUCUGCUUUUCUUUUCUCCUAUAUUGCUUUAUAUAUACACCUCCACUUUUGCUUUCUACAUUUCAUUUUACAAAAUACAUUCUCUCAUUCUGUGUCAUUUAUCUUGCCUGAUUCCGUCCUCUCUUUAUCUUUUUCUCUCAUCCUCUUGCUUAUAAUUCUUUUGUUUUUAUUAAGAAAUACACUAUAAUUCUAAUUUAAUCAUAUACUAUAAUUAUGCUAAUCAUCAAUUAGUACUAUAUAUUAUUAAUGAUCUGCGUAUAUAUUAUUUAUGAUUUGCGGAUAAGACAAUAGAUUCAAUAAAUUCUAGAUAAAAUAAAUUUUAAAUGAAUAUGAUAAAAAUAUAUUAAAAAAUGAACUUUAUUGAAUCGAUUGAGUAUCUCUAUUUUAAAGACUUGUAAGAAUAAUAGGAAUAACAAUAUAUUAAUAUUAAUAUGUUUCUUAAUAAAUUUCAUACCCACUAUCUAUUUAUAAAUUAAUAUAUUAUAAAUAUCUAAUGAUGUCUUAUUUCUCUAACAUUUAAAAUUAAAUUUGUAGAUUCUACAAAACAUUACAUUUUGAUUUUAAUAUUUAUAAAAUAUUUUUUAUUCUCAUAUUUAAAAAACAAAACUUAGUUUGAGUGUAUUCCUUAGUUACUUACUACUCAUCACCAGCCGCCAACAGCGUGAUGGCUUCACUCUCCGUUCGCGCCACAACCACCUCUUAUCGGGCCUCCUUCCGGCCCAAGCCCACCUCGGGGCCCACCAGGGUCCGAAUGUCCCUCCGCGAUGACGGCCCCGCCAUCGCCGUCGUCGGCGUCACCGGCGCCGUUGGCGAGGAGUUCCUCUCCGACCGCGACUUCCCCUACCGUUCCAUCAAAAUGCUGGCCUCGCAGCUCUCCGCCGGCCGCCGCAUCAUCUUCGAGGACAGGGACUACGUCGUGGAGGAGCUCACAGCGGAUAGCUUCGACGGCGUCGACAUUGCGCUCUUUAGCGCCGGCGGUGGUAGACUAUAGCUCCGCAUUUGGGAUGGACGAGAAGGUGACGCUGGUUAUUCCCGAAGUGAAGCCCCAAACGAUGCAACACAUCAAAGUUGGAACGGGAAAAGGCGCUCUGAUUGCGAACCCUAAUUGCUCCACCAUUAUUUGCUUGAUGGACAUACUAAUUAAUAUCAAUUAUAACAAAUAAUGAACGUUUCUGGUCAUUUCUUGUACUUCGCGUUAUUUCAUAACAGUAGUUUUUUUAAAUAAAUUAAGAAAAAUAUUCAUUUUUAAAUUUAAUGCACUUUUAAAUAAUUUGACUAUUAUAAACAUAAUCACUUAUAAAAAUAAUUUUAGAGUAGUUGAUAUAAUUAAAAUAAAAUAUUUUAUUAUUAAAGUAAAAAUUAUAUAUAAAUAAAAAAUAGGUUUUAUUUUAAAAUAAUAUUCAAUUUUAUAAAAGUUUUUUCUUUUUGUCUUUUUUUUUUUAUAUUUCUAACCAUAUUUUUUCGUGAGGUUGAUAAUAGAAUCUCACUUUGGAUUUAUGGGAAUGAAUAAUGAAUUAGUUUUUAGUUUUCUAUUUAUCUAUAUAUAAAGGUGAUACGGUGACAAAUUCCAAAAUUUUAUUAUAAUGUUUGCUUUGUUGAUUGAAAUAGAUGUUAAUUGAUGAAAAAGAUUGAAAGUUUUAAACCCAAUACACCCCUCACGUCGAGGUUAGGUGGACUGAUAAGUUCAGCAAAAUCUCGUUAUGAUAGUUUUUAGAUGACUCUGAUACCACAAUAAAAAAUAAACUUUAAAUUUAACUCAACCUUACAAAACUAAUUUAUAAAGUGAGCUAUGUAUCCCUAGUCGAUGUAGAAUCUCUAACAAUGAUUUAAAUGAAUUGUUAUAUGCUUUAUGAAGUUUAACCUUUAUUUUUACUUGACAAAUUGGAUUUUAAUGAGGUAUAUAUGCUCUCAGCAUCAAAUCCGCUUAACGAAAUUUAUAUGUGUCAAGCGAAUUUGGACAUGUAGAGUUUGAUGUGCUCUUGGCCUCAAAUCCGCUCAAUGUUUUUUUUUCCUGUACUUAAGCAAACUUACAUCCAGAUUUUGGAGUACUUUCGAACUCAAAUUUGCUCAAAGAAAUUUUCUUAUGGUAAGCAAAUUUAAGCGGCUAUUGUUUGGAUGUUCUCUGCCUCAAAUUCGUUCAGUGAAAUUUUCCUGUGCUAAGGAGAUUUCUCUGGGCUUAAGCCCCAACUUCAUGGGCUCGACCCAUUUUGACGACAUUUGUCAUCUUUGCUUAGAUAUCUUUUGGUUUGUUUUCUAUAGGUCAUGAAAUUGAAUUAAAUCUUUUGAAAUUUAUCAUUUUGUAAAUUGUAAGUGAUUACAACUUUCUAAUGUUCAUGCAACAUGUGUUUAAAAUAAGUAAAUCUAACAAAUAAAUACUCGUUACAUAUUCAAUGGAAAGCUUUUUCUUUUAAUUCUUUGGUGUUUUAUUUUGAUGAUGUAUAUAUUUGAAAAUCAAUGUAUGAAUGGAUAAUGCUUUAUGAUAUAAUAAUAUUACAAUGUAAAUGUUAUUUAUAUACUAUCACAUGAUAAAUUAAAAUUUAAUAAGAUAGUUAAGGAUGUUAUAAUUAUUCUUUUAAUUUAUUUUAUUUCACUGUAUAUUUAGGUGUAUUACGUAGAAUGUAUAGUUAAAAAAAUAAUGUUAUUUUGAAAUUUAAAGAAUGACGUAUAGAAAUAAACAAGCUUUUGUUAAAAUUAUACUAUUUGAAAAGGAACACAGAACAAUAUUGACAAUUAUACUUUUACUUAUUACUUAUUUUAAUUUAUUAUAUUCAUGAGUAUUAUUUUUUUUAAACAUAGAUAUUGGAUAAAAAAUAUAAAUAACAUUUAUUUAUUUCAAAUUUAAAAAUCUUUAAAAUAAAAUUAAAUAAUAUUUUUAAUUAAGAUGUGUUUUUUAACAAUUUUUUUAAUUUAAAAAAUAAUUAAUUCGGAGGAUGAUUAAAGAAAUAUUAACAAAUUAUUUCUGCGUUUAUAAUAAACCUUCAAUAAUAUUUGUACUUUCUAGCAUAUAGAAUACUUAAUGGAUCCCUUUGUGAUUUUUCUUUUCUAAAGUGCAAUUGAUAUUUUAAAUGUUUUUCUAUUUAAUUUUCCUUUCUUAAUGACACAUUAAAGGGUUCAGUGCACGAUUAAUUAUUCUCACCUUAGAUUUCAUUCAUCUCAUUCCAUUUCCACACUCAAAUCAUUCUCACAUUUUUUUCUACCUAUUUCACAAAGUUUUAUGUAAAAUAUGGAAAUUAAACUAAAAGAACCCUACUUAUAUAUUAAUAUUCAACAACUUAAAAUAUUACUAUGCAAAUUAAUCUUUCUUAAUAAUGUUAUGUAAAAAUUAAAAUGUAGUUUAGUCAUUCAUACUUAGAUGGAUAAAGAUGGUUUUAGAAAAAAAAUGCAUUUUAUUUCAAAUCUAUUACUUAUAAAAUGAGUUAUAAAAUGAGGUUUGUGAUAUUUAUUCAAAAUUUAAAUUAUAUUAUGCAUUUAUGGUUUUAUGUUUUUAAAGAAAUCAGAAACUUAGAAAAGCUCCUAAAAACUACUGAAAUCCAUAAGAUGAUAAUUAAUAAACAUCCUCUCUUAAUAACAUAACAUAUAAGAUAGGAGUCUUUACACUUAUAUUCUUCAAACAAUUAUAAGCUGUCUUCAACUUUACUGUUAAACUACAAUUAUAAAGAAUUAACAAUCUCACACACCAACAACAUUUAUAAGCCAUCACUCACAUGAAACAAGGUGCCUCAAUGUGAAAAAACCAAGAUCAAUAAGAAAUGAGGUUCCACUUAACCAAGCUGAGAAUUUUCUGGUUUUCCAACUCCAUGCACAAACCUAAUACAAUGAUAUGAUAUUCAAUCAGCAUUAAUUGGCAUAAACAGGUACAUUGUUGUAAAACUGGGAUUAUAAGGUUCCAUAGGAUGGAGAAAAGUAAGAAGAGGAUUUACCAAUUACCCUUUCAAAUGGAGCUCCUCAGGAUUUCAUAAUGCCUUCACUGCAAAUGCAACCCAAAUAUGCUAAAAAAGUUAAUGAAACUAUAUAUGAAGAGUUUCAAGAAAAUGCAACUCUGGGACAACAGAGAAACCCAUCUCAUGCUGAACAGAAACAUCAAACUAUAUCUAACAAUAACUUAGAAAUCUUUGUCAACAAUUGAACGAACCCACUCCUAAAAUGCCAUUGAAAAUGUAAAUAAAACAAAAUAAAUUAAAAACGAGAAAUUCAUAAUAAAAAUUCAACGUGUUGAAACUUAUGAUAACUCAGUUUAGAUCCUGACCAAUGAAAGACUAAUUAGCAGAAGAGGAAGAGACUAGUUGACAGGGUAGCUUUCGGCCUUUCUCUUCCUAUCUUUCCUUGUUUCUCUUGAAGACUGUGCAACAUUGCUUCCACUGGAUUCUUCAAUGUCAACAUCACCACCAUAUUUAUCAUCUUUCUUUUUGGUAUAAAGGGGGCAUAUGCCGCAUUCUUUUAUUGUGAUGUCUGAUGCCAUCACUCUCACACCUGAUUUGUAACUAUACAGACUGAUCUCAAAAGUGAAGCUGCGAGCAUCACAGACCCUAAGGCUCUUGCGGCUCGCCGUUAGGGACUCCAUGUUAAAUUUCCACACGAAUGUGUGAUCUUCAUCAACACAUCUGUGUUCACCAUUCCAUUUGAAAUAGCUGUUUAACACAUCAUUAUUUAGAAUGAUCUGUGUGCCAUCAUCAUCAUCAGAUUCAAAUUUUAGACUGUAACCAAAAGAACCAUAUCUACAUUUAACAGCUUUCGUAUCUAACACUCCAAAAACCACACACAAAGCGAAACCAGUGAGCCUAUCAUCGCUGCAGAAACUUAAAUCUUCAUUUAUAGUCACUGAAUGUCCCUUCCCACGAGAAUGGAACCAACGAGGAACUGCAUUCCCUGGAAAACAGAAGAACACAGACCUAUAUGCAUCGUCGGUCAUCCUAACCCAUGCAUCCUCCUCAAUGUUAGCACGAGCACCUGAAUCCAGUUGCUGAGCAUUGGUGAAAUGAAAUUUGAAGACACCCUCUUUGGAGUUUGAGAAGUUUGGAACAAGAGAAUUUGACAUCACUCUUCUGAUGGAUGGGCAAUCCAAUGCCACGAGUUGUUUUAGAAAUGGUGGAAUCUGUGGGAUGGAUUCAAGUUUUUUGCAGUCGCUUAAAUCGAGCGAGUUCAAGCUUGAAAGAUGAGCAAUGCUCUCAGGAAGGUUCACGAUUCCGCUAUCACGCAGUGACAGUUCCAUUAAUGACGUCAAGCGACCGAUGUGGCUUGGGAUUUCUGUUAAUUUGGCACACCCCGAACAAUCAAGUUUAGAGAGAAGCUUCAGAUUAACAAUGGAGUUUGGAAGUGACUCGAGAUGAAUGCACUCUUGGAGUUCCAGGGAUCGAAGAUUAACGAAAUUGCCAAAUGAGGAAGGCAGUUCUUUAACAGCCGUAGAUGUUAAGUUAAUGUGAGCAAAAGUAUGAGCCGGCUCCGCGAUCUCUGGGAAGGUCCUCAGCCUUGAGCAACCACGCAAAUCAAGGUUCCUCAACUUCAAAUUGAAAAUGGUGCUUGGAAAAGUUUGAAGUGAAUUACAGUGGGUAAGGUCUAACUUGCAUAGUCUGGUGAGGGUUCCAAUGGAAGAUGGAAUAAUCUCAAGAUUCAAGCAACUGCGCAAACUCAGUCCUUGAAGCCCUACCAAACGGCACAAGGAUGAAGGUAGUGCCUGUAUGGCUGUGCCGUCUAAGAUGAGCACCACUAGAUCUUCCAACGUGUCCUGAAUCUCGGGUAAAUUUUCCAAUUUUGAGCAACCACUGAGAGAAAGUUUCUUUAUGAAUUUCAUAUCAGAAAGGUGAAAUGGAAAGAUUGUAAGGGAAGAACAGUGAGAGAGAUCUAAGUAACAGAGCUUCUUGCGAUUAAAGUUGAAGUGACAGAGCUUCAUGAGUUUUGUGAACACUUUAAAACAUAUAGUAUCAUUAGCCACUUCUUCUUCCUUAUAUCUGUCAAAAGUAAUUGAGAAAAUUUCACUGGAAGUUGGGAAAAAAGGACCACGGUGUCGACGUUUACCACGCCGUCCUGAGAAAUUCGUCAUAUCCGGUUCCUGACGAGGGAAUAUUGAGAAAGUUUGAAGUUGACGCUCCAGUAUCACAUGAGGGAAUCUGGGUUUACUGAUCGAAAACAUAUUAAGCUUCGGACAACGGGAAAGAGUAAUCCAUCCUGGUGAUGUGGAUAAAAUGUUGCUGGGAAUAUUUACACUAUUCAGAUCAUUACAAUCAUCUAAACAUAAACAACUGAGCUUGUUGAGGAAUAUCCAAGAGUGAACUUCAAUCAACUUUUCACAACUUUUCAGAAUUAUUUCUUCAAUAUUUGGUGACAUAGAAAGGUCUGGUAUUCUAGUAAGUUUCCGAGAAUAACUCAGGUCGAGCCUUUUCAAGUUGGGUAAAUUCUGCCACAAAUAGGAAAUGAAUGAGGUAACAAAUAAAAACUACUUUAUCUAUUUUUCUUCGGUAAAAUAUUAGCUACAUCAUCUAAUCUAUUCACUUUAUAUUUUACAUUACUUCAAAACCACUGUUAAAAAAAAUCACACUGUCAACUAACAAAACUGUGGCUAUAAAUUUAAUAGUUAUUAUAAAAAACCACAAAAUUUAACGUGUUUUUGUUCCCUACCUCAAAUUACAUCCUAAUAAUUUGAACCUAAACUUAUUAUGUAUUUAAAAACUGAUGAUAGUAAUUUAUAAUCGAUGACAGUGUGGAAAUACUUUAUAUCAUGCAUGUAUCAACUGACAAAAUAAAAUGGUGUUGUCUGAUGAUAGUAAUUUAUAAUCGAUGACCAUCUUUCCAUAAUUUAUUUUAUUAAAUACAUAAUUUGUUGUAUAUUAUAUUGAAGUUUAUGUUAUAAUAAUAAAAAAAUACUUAAUUAGGUUUUGAGUAUCCAGUAAGACAUUUUUAAUUAAUUUUUUUAUUAAAUUUUUUAAUUAUUUAAGUACUCAAAUUUUUUAUAUUUCCAAUAGAAUAUAUGUCAUUUUUAAUUUUUGAGUUAAUUGGGUGAUACAGAAAUUAUCUUGUCACAUGAUCUUACUUACUUGUCUUUAUGUAUUAAGGAAUAUGAAGUUUUAUGAUUGGCCAUUAGACUAUAUACCUAAAAAGAGGAUGCAAACUCUUCUACAUGCUACUAAAUUUAUAACUAUCUUUAAUUAGAAACAUGCUGAGUAUGAUUCUUAUGAUAUAUGUAUAACUGUGUGGUUCAAAUAAAAGAAAUUUCAAAUCGAAUAAUGUGGAGAAGCACAAAGGAAUUGCAAAUGAAAACCAGUAGAUGUAUAAUACAGAAAACAUGCUUGUAUAACUUAUUUUUGUCUUUGAAAGUUUAGAACACAAAGAAACAUAGAUAGCUUGAAAAACCUGAUCUCCUUCCCAGAGUUGUUCAAGAUGGCAGUAUGGCAUUUCGAGGGUCACUAGAUUUUGCGGGCAAAAGUUUGGAGGCAAAGAUCUUUGAGGGAAAUGUUUCCAAUAAAGAAUCUUUAGAGUGUCUGGCAGACCUACAAUAGAUGAUUCAAGAGACACAUUUGACGUGUAUUUUGGCGUGUUGAGCAUAAGCAUCCUAAGAUUGUCCAUCUUUUCGAAACUUUGUGCAUGUACUACAACUUCAUUUACUUUGCUCGUAUCUAGUGAUAUACACUGUAUUGCAUCUAACCCCUGAAAGUAAAUCAAUGUAAUUAGAAAAAAAAAGCAUGAAAUGUUGCUGUAUGGUUAUGGGCAGAUUGAUGAGAUAUGGUAACCUUCGGAUACUGAUCAUGAAGUGACAUAAAGGAGAAGGAAGCGUUACUGAAGGAGAGUAAUGGAAAUUUAUGAGAAAUUAAGCCGUUGGUUACAGAGACUAGGUAGGGACCGAGUCAUCUAUACCAGGGACCGAGUCAUCUAUAAGAGGAGGCAGAGACGAAGAGUAGGGGUAGGAAAAAAAGAUAUGGUUUUUAUAUUAUCUUUGAUGCUCUAGCUAAGGAUCAUCUGUCCUAAAACAGUUGCAUUUCUGGAUGUUUAAUGACAGCUCAAUAGUUUGCAGUUUUUUCACAAAGUAACAACAGAAUAUACCUUGUUUUUUCUUAAAACAUCACAAAUUUCCUCAGCAUUAAACAGUCGGCUGCGUUUUCCAGGAUGCCGACGACACUCUUUACGAACAAUUUCUUGACCCAUUUCUUGUAUUAGAUCGUGCAUCAUAAUAAUACCAUUAAAGACAGAUAUUAGGCACCUAUCUUUGAGAACAUCCAUUACAAUCUUAGUAGAGAAACCAUUGCAGUCAUCAAGUAUUUCUGCCAGCACAAUCUCCUGGUAUCCUCUAUAAAAGCAAGCAAUGUCAAGAAAUAUAUUCUUCUCCACCUCCUCGAGCCCAUCAUAACUUAAUUUUAAUACAUUGAAAAUACCAUGAUGUUGGCCCUUUUUCAACUUUUGCAACUGACUUUCCCAUGCUUCUUUUGUUCUGUCACAAAGCAAUGAGCCCAAAAUCUGGAGAGCUAACGGAAUCCCUUUUGCAUAACUCAACACCUUUCCUGACAGUUCCUUGUAAGCAAUUUCUUCUGAAGAUUUUUGUUUAAAAGCAUGUAAACUAAAAAGUCUUAGAGAAUCAUCAGAAUUCAACUCCUUAACUUCGUAGAUAUCAUCAGCUCUAGCAUUCUUAAGCACUUGUCUGUCUCUACUGGUCAUAAUGAUUCUACUGCCCUGCCUAAAACUAUCACUCCAUCCUAUUAAUUUUUGAAGUUGAGCUGAAUCGGUAACAUCAUCAAGAAUGAGGAGAGCCUUUGUCCGUUUGAGCCUUUCUUUGUAAUAUGGUAAAGAAGAAGAUUUCUCUUCCUUUAGAAGCUCAGACAGAUAUUUUGUUCUGAUACUAUCUAUUCCAUCUCUUUGUAUUUUUUCUUGAACGUCUAAAACAAGGCUGCUGGAAUCAAACUGCAAUGCCAAUUUCUGAUAUAUUUGAUCACAAAUUGUACUUUUUCCUAUUCCUCCCAUGCCCCAAAUUCCUAUGAUCCGAACAUCCGGUGACUCAGGAUGCAACAAGGACUGAAUUCCUUCAAUAUGUUUUUGAAUGCCGAUGAUUCCUUGAUCAUAACUGGUGGAAUAAAGAUUCAAUUUUCCCAAAAUAUCUUCCACAAUUUUUUCAACAAGUUUGUGGUCAUUCCUGGCAGAUGAUUUAGAAAAUAAAGUAUAAGAAUUCAAGCACAAAAGCUAAACUAAACUAAAGAAAAAUUCAGAGUCAAGAGGAGUGAACAUCAUUGAAUAGAUUCACAUAUCGAUUCUAGUUUCGAGUUCUGGAUAAAAUAAAUAAAUUAAAAAGUUGAAGGUAAGUUUAGGACGUUAUCUUCCUAUAUUAGUUUGGUUGGUUUAGUAAUUGCAAAUCAAGAUCGCAGAAAUUCUACAGUAACCGUAUGUGACUUCUGAUAAUAGGGAGCAGAUUUGUAGGUACAAAGUUAAGCUAUAACAUGUGAUAUGGUUCAGAUCCAUGACCGACUAAGAGAAAUGAAAAAAGAAACACUUGAUUUAUGGUGAGAUGAACACAAUUUUAGUAAAUGAAAAGAGAUCCUGAUUAUCUAAUAAAUAUAAUGACCUGGUGACUUUUGAAUCCCAGCCUGCAAGUUCAGCAGCUUCGGUUAGAGCAUCCUUCCAUCCUUGCACUCUGUCCAUGUCGUGCUUAAGCCGCUGUUCAUGCUCAUCAAAUGCUUCUUUGAAUCUUUGUUCCUGCUUCCUAAUAGUUGAUGGAUCCACCUUGUAGAAAACAGGUAUCACAUCCCUUCCAUAUCUCUUCUUGCAUUCAAGUAUCUUAGUGAGUUCAUUCAAGCACCAAGUGGAAGAUGCAUAGUUUUGGGAGAAAACGAUGACAUAAAUCUUUGAUUCUUCUAUUGCAGAGAGUAGUGCAGGUGAAAUUUCUUCGCCCCGGGGUAGUCUCUCGUCAAUAUAUGCUUGAAUGUUCUUCCUUUGCAGUGCUGCAUGAAGGUGACGAAUGAAGUUGUCACGUGUGUCUUCCCCUCUGAAGCUGAGAAACACAUCAUGCUUUGUUAGAGAAGCAGACACGGGGAAUGAUGAAGGACUUCCUGACAUUGGAAUCAAUUUUCUCUCUUUUCUCUUGCAACUCUCAGUGCCUUUGUUUGUACACAAAUCAACUCUUGGAAAAGUCUUUGAAUUUUCUCAAAAGUAUCUUUCACAGAUCACGCACGCGUGGAAACAUAGCUGUGUUAAAAUCCUUAUUUAAGUUUUAAUUGGGCCUUGUAGUGGGCUUUGUAAUGUGCUUUUCUUUUCUCCUACAUUGCUUUAUAUAUACACCUCAGCGUUUGCUUUCUACAUUUCAUUUUACAAAAUACAUUCUCUCAUUUUCUACCUUUUAUAUUGUCUGAUUCCGUUCUCUCUUUAUUUUUUUUCAAAUCUCUUUUGCUUACAAUUUUUUUUUCUUUUUUAAGAAAUGUACUUUUUCAAGUUUAAUUUAAUUUUAUAAAACAGUCAUCUUUCUACAGUAUUAUCAUCUCUUACGUGAGAUUAUUAUAUAUUAUUUGGUGAUCUAAGUAAACUUUUAAUCCAAUAAACUUUAAAAAUAAUUCUAAUACUAUAUUAAAAAAUGAAAUUUAAAUCUAAUUCUAUUUUAUAAAAUAUAUUUAUUCAAUGCUAAAAUAUCUCUAAUUGAGUAGGGAUGUUCAAAAUACUUAUUGGUUCUUGAUUUUCACUUUCACUUUUAAGGUUUUUCUUCGCAGACACGUAGUAAACAGAAAUACAAAAAUAUGAGUCAAUGGAAGAGUCUAACGAUUCGCAGAAUAUUAUGGUGUCUAGCUUUAUACCGCAUUAAUGCGAGGAGUUUCUUUAAUAUUUUUACUCAAUUUAUUUAUUUUUAAUUCUUUUUUUUUUCACACCUUUUACAAAUAAAGAAUCGUAUUUCUUUAAUAUAUUUUAGAAAAUAACCACUAAACCUUAUUAUAAAAUAUAUUUAUGAAAUGCACGUGUAAGAAUAACAGGAAAAAUAUUACUACGAAAAACAAUAUAUUAAUAUUAAUAUGUUUCUUAAUAAAUUUCAUACCCACUGUCUAUUUAUAAAUUAAUAUAAUAUAAAUAUCUUUAAUGAUGUUUUUGUGGGUAGCUUAUUUCUCUAACGCAGAAUAUUAUGGUGUCUACUUUUAUAAAACAUUACAUUUUGAUUUUAAUAUUUAUUAAAUAUUUUUUAUUUGGGAUGAAGUAACGAUGAUGAAUCGAAUGUGUUUUGAAGUCUGACAUAACUUUUAGAGAUGUUAUGAGAACGGUUAAUGACGGAAAUUAUCAAAAACCUUUUGGGGGAAGGUUGUGGUUUUGGGAGGUGAUUUCAGGUAAAUAUUGUUAGUGGUAAAAAAAGGAUUAAGAUAUGAUGUUGUGAAGUCAACAAUCAACUUUUCUCAUUUGUGGUUAAAUUGUCGAGUCUUAAAACUUUCUCAAGGAAAUCCAACACGAUCUAUUGAUUGAGCCCACAAAAACACCUUUGUUAUCAUUGGUGAAUUUUGUUUAUCCUAAUUUAUUGACUGAUAUGUUAUGUCCUGAGUACUUUGAGUAUGGAGCAAUACUUUGUCCGACAACUGAAUCAGUAGAGCAAGUGAAUGAUUUUAUUUUAUCUCUGUUAAGUGGUAAAUAAAUAAAUUAUCUUAGUUCGGAUACACCUUGCCAAUUAGAUUAAGAUCAAGAAUUUAAAGUGAAUGGUUCACUUCUGAGUUCUUAAAUGAGAUAAAAUGUUCAGAGAUACUAAAUCAUCGCCUUCAUUUGAAAAUUGGCGUGCCUAUUAUGCUUUUGAGAAAUAUUGAUCAAACCAACGGUCUUUGUAAUGGAACAAGGUUGCAAGUUAUUGAUUUGAAGAAAAUGUUAUUUGUGCAAUAGUUCUAACAGGAACAAAUAUUGGUGAUAAAAUCUUUAUUUCAAUAAUGAAUUUGAUCCCUUUAGAUGUAGGUAUGCCAUUCAAAUUCUAGAGAAGACAAUUUCCAAUAACUUUAUGUUUUGCAAUGACAAUUAAGAAAAGUCAAAGUCAAUUAUUGACCAAAGUUGGUUUAUAUUUUUCACGUCCAAUUUUCACACAUUGAUAGUUGGAUGUAGCUAUUUAUAGAGUUAGAAAGAAAAAAAUUUAAAAAUUCUAACUCUUGAUGAAGAUGGGAAUGCAACAAACAAGAAAAAGAAAAUGUUUACACUGAAACUUUUGACAAUAUUUAAAAACAAUAGAAUUAUAUGAUAAACUUGGAAUAAUGGCUAAUUCUCCCUGCACCCAAUAUUUUUGAACAUGCAACUUUUAAAUUUGCUCCCUUGUAAUUAUAUUUUCUUAUGUGUGAUGUAGUAACAGUUGCCUUAUUUAAAAUGUUACUAAAUAACAUAUCAUUUAUAUCUGUUAUUUUUAUUCUGUUCUGAUUUUAUAUAUAUGUUAACGAAGUUGAGAAUUUUCUGAUUUUACAGGUCCAUGCACAAACCUAAUAUAAUGAUAUGAUAUUCAAUAUCAAGAGGUACUUGUCGUAAAACGGGGAAUAUGAGAGACUCCAUAGAAUGAAGAAAAAGUAUAAAGAGGAUUUACAAAUUACCCUUUCAAAUGCAGCUCCUCAGAAUUUCUUAAUGCCUUCACUGCAAAUGCAACCCAAAUAAGCUAAAGAAGUUAAUCAAACUAUACAUUAAGAGUUUCAAGAAAAUGAAACUCUGGAACAACAGAGCAACCCAUCUCAUGCUCAAUAGAAACAUCAAACUAUAUCUAACAAUAACUUAGAAAUCUUUGUCAACAAUUGAACGAACCCACUCCUAAAAUGCCAUUGAAAAUGUAAAUAAAUAAAUAAAAAUUAAAAAUGAGAAUUCAUAAUAAAAUUUCAUCGUGUUGAAACUUGUAAUUUAGAAGUAUUACGAUAAGCCAGUUUUGAUCCUCGCGAAUGAAAGACUAAUUAGCAGAAAGACUGUGCAAAAUUCCUUCCACUGGAUUCUUCGAUGUCAACUGAUUUGGUAUAAAGAGGACAUAUGCCGCAUUCUUUUAUUGUGAUAACUGAUUUCAACUCUCUCACAAGUAAUUUGCGAUUUGACCGAUUUGGCCGCAGAAAGGGAUCAUCAUAAUCAUGCGAACUGAUCUCAAAAGUGAAGCUGCGAGCAUCACACAGCCUAAGGCUCAUGCCGCUUGCCCUUAGGGACUCCAAGUUAAAUUUCCACACCAAUGUGUGAUCUUUAUCAACACCUCUCUCUUCAUCAUCCCAUCUGAAAUAGUUGUUUAACACAUCAUUAUUUGGAAUUAUCCGUGUGCCAUGAUCAUCAGAUUCAAAUUUUAGGCUGUAACCAAAGGAACCAUAUCUACCUUUAACAACUUUCGUAUCUAACACUUCAAAAACCACACACAAAGCGAAACCACUGAGCCUAUCAUCGCUUAAAAAACUUAAAUCUUCAUUUAUAGUCACUGAAUGUCCCUUCCCACGAAAAUGGAACCAACCAGGAACUGCACUCCCUGGAAAACAGAAGAACACACACCUAUAUCUAUCGUCGGUCAUCCUAAGCCUUGCAUCCUCCUCAAUGUUAGCACGACCACCUGAAUCCAGUUGUUGAGCAUUGGUCAAAAGAAAUUUGAAGAAACCCUCUUUGGAAUUUGACAAGUUUGGAACAAGAGAAUUGGACAUCACUCUUCUAAUGGAUGGGCAAUCCAAUGCCACUAGUUUUUUUAGAAAUGGUGGAAUCUCUGGGAUGCAUUCAAGCUUUUUGCAGUCGCUUAAAUCAAGCGAUUUCAAGCUUGAAAGAUGAGCAACGCUCUCAGGAAGGUUCACAAUUCCGCUAUCACACAGUGACAGUUCCAUUAAUGACGUCAAGCGACCGAUAUCUCUAGGGAUUUCUGUUAAUCUGGCACACCCCGAACAAUCAAGUUUAGAGAGAAGCUUGAGAUUAACAAUGGAGUUUGGAAGUGACUCCAGAUCAGUGCAUUUGCGGAGCUCCAGGGAUCGAAGAUUAACCAAAUUGGCAAAUGAGGAAGGCAGUUCUUUAACAGCCGUACAUAUCAAGUUAAUGUGAUCAAAAGUAGGAGCCGGCUCUGUGAUCUCUGGGAAGGUCCUCAGACUUGAGCAACCACACAAAUCAAGGUUCCUCAACUUCAAAUUGAAAAUGGUGCUUGGAAAAGUUUGUAGUGAACUACAGUGGGUAAGGUCUAACUUGCAUAGUCUGGUGAGGCUUCCAAUGGAAGAUGGAAUAAUCUCAAGAUUGAAGCAACUGCACAAACUCAGUUGUUGAAGCCCUACCAAACGGCACAAGGAUGAAGGUAGUGCCUGUAUGGCUGUGUCGUCUAAGAUGAGCACCACUAGAUCUUCCAACGUGUCCUGAAUCUGGGGUAAAUUUUCCAAUUUUGAGCAACCACGGAGUGAAAGUUGCUUUAGGAACUUCAUAUCAGAAAGGUCAAAUGGAAAGAUUGUAAGGGAAGAACAGUGAGAGAGAUCUAAGUGACAGAGCCUCUUGAGAUUUUGAAAGUUUGAGGGUACACCUUCGAGUAUUGUCGACACUUCACAUUGUGAGUAUAUAGUAUUAUUACCCACUUCUUCUUCGUUAUAUCUGUCAAAACUAAUUGAGGAAAUUUCACUGGAAGUUGGGAAAAUACCUUUAGCAUUAUGGAAUUUAACAGUCCCUCCCAAAAGUAAACUUGAGAAAGUUGGACGUUGACCCUCCAGUUUCACAUGAAGGUAUCUGGGUUGACUGGUUGAAAACAUUUCAAGCUCCUCACAGUGAGAAAGAAUGAUCAAUCCUGGAGAUGUGGAUAAAAUCUUGUUGGGAAUAUUUACACUUUUGAGAUGAUAACAAUGAUCUAAACAUAAACAACUGAGCUUGCUGAGGAAUAUCGAAGAGUGAACUUUAAUCAACUUUUGACAAUAACUCAGAAUUAGUUCUUCAAUAUUCGGUGACAGAGAAAGGUCUGGUAUUCUAGUAAGUUUCAGAGAAUGACUCAGGUUGAGCCUUUUCAAGUUGGGUAAAUUCUGCCACAAAAAGUAAAUGAAUCAGGUAACAAUGAAAAACUAAAAUAAAGUUUUAUGCAAUUUUAUCUAUUUUUCUUCGGUAAACUAUGAGCUACAUCAUCUAUCGAGUUUAUAUUUUACAUAAAACCACUGUUAAAAAAAUCACACUGUUAACUAACAAAAUUAUGGUCACUAUAAAUUUUAUAGUUAUUAUAAAAAUUCACAAAAUUUAACGUGUUUUUGUUCUCUACCUAAAAUUACAUCCUAAUAAUUUGAACCUAAGCUUAUUAUGUAUUGAAAAACUUACUAUAGUAAUUUAUAAUCCAUGACAAUGUCGAAAUACUUUAUACUAUGCAUGUUAAAAUUUGAUAAAAUGUCGAAAUACUGACAAAAUAAAAAUGGUGUUUUCCGAGAGUUAAAAUUAAACUUUAGUUAAAAUAAGUCCAUCUUUACAUAUUUUAUAAUUUGUUGUAUAUUAUAUUGAAGUUGAUGUUAUAAUAAAAAAAUGACUUAAUUAAUCGAAAAAUGUGGAGAAAACACAAAGAAAUUGCAAAUGCUUGUAUAAUUUAUUUUUAUCUUUGAAAGUUUAAAAGACAAAGGAACAUAGAUAACUUGAAAAACCUGAUCUCCUUCCCAGAGUUGUUCAAGACGGCAGCCUGGCAUUUCGAGGAUCACUAGAUUUUGUGGGCAAAAGUUUGGAGGCCAAAAUCUUUGCGGGAAAUCUCUCCAAUAAAGAAACUUUAGAGUGUCUGGCAGACCUACGAGAGAUGAUUCAAGAGACACAUUUGAUAUGUAUUCAGUUGAGUAGAGUAAAAACGUCCAAAGAUCAUCCAACUCUUUACGAGACACAUCUGAUAUGUAUUUAGUUUUAUUUUGCUCGUAUCUAGUAAUAUACACUGUAUUGCAUCUGACCCCUGAAAGUAAAUCAAUGUAAUUAGAAGAAAAAAACAUGAAAUGUUGCAUUGCAGGAUGUUUGAUGACAGCUCAGUGGUUUGCAAUUUUUCACAAAGUAAAUUAAUGACAGGUCAGUAGUUAUAUACCUUAUUCUUUCUUAAAACCUCACAAAUUUCCUCAGCAUUAAACAAUCGGCUGCGUUUUCCAGGAUGCUGAGGACACUCUUUACGAACAAUUUCUUUACCCAUUUCUUCUAUUAGAUCGUGCAUCACAAUUCUACCAUCAAUGACAGAUAUUAGGCCCCUAUCUUUCAGAAUAUCCAUUCCAAUCUUAGAAGAGAAACCAAAGUCAUCAAGUCUUUCUGCUACCUCAAUCUCCUCGUGACCUCUAUAAAAGCAAGCUAUGUCAAGAAAUAUAUUCUUCUCCUCCUCCUCCAGCCCAUCAUAACUUAAUUUUAAUACAUUGAAAAUACCAAGAUGUUGGCCCUUUUUCAACUUUUGCAACUCACUCUCCCAUGCUUCUCUUGUUCUGCCAUAAAGCAAUGACCCCAAAAUCUGGAGAGCUAACGGAAUCCCUUUUGCAUAUCUCAACACCUUUUCUGACAGGUCCAUGUAAGAUUUUUCUGCUGAAGAUUUUUGUUUAAAAGCAUGUAAACUAAAAAGUUUAUGAGAAUCAUCAAAAUUCAACUCCUUAACCUCGUAGAUAUCAUCAGCUCCAGCAUUUCUAAGCACUUGUCUGUCUCUACUGGUCAUAAUGAUUCUACUGCCCUGCCCAAAACUACCACUCCCUCCUAUUAAUUUUUUAAGUAUAGCUGAAUCGGUAACAUCAUCAAGAAUGAGGAUAGCCUUUGUCCGUUUGAGCCUUUCAUUGUAAUAUGAUAAAUCAGGGGAUUUCUUUAUCUCUUCCUUUAGAAGCACAGACAGAUAUUUUCUUCUGAUACUGUCUAUUCCAUCUCUUUGUAUUUUUUCUUGAACGUCUAAAACAAGGCUGCUGGAAUCAAACUGCACUGCCAAUUUCUGAUAUAUUUGAUUACAAAUUGUAGUUUUUCCUAUUCCUCCCAUGCCACAAAUUCCUAUGAUCCGAACAUCCGUUGACUCAAGAUGCAACAAGGACUGAAUUCCUUCAAUAUUUUUUUCAAUGCCGAUGAUUCCUUGAUCAUAACUGGUGGAAUAACGAUUCAAUUUUCUCAAAAUAUCUUCCACAAUUUCUUCAACAAGUGCGUGUUCUGGCCUGGCAGAUGAUUUAGAAAAUAAAGUAUAAGUAUUCAAGCACAAAAGCUAAAGUAAACUAAAGAAAAAUUUUACAGUAACCGUUUGUGACUUCUGAUACUAGGGAGCAGACUUGUAGGUACAAAGUUAAACUAUAAGAUCAGAUAUGGUUCAGAUCCAUGACCGACUAAGAGAAAUGAAAAAAGAAACACUUGAUUUAUGGUGAGAUGAACACAAUUUUAGUAAAUGAAAAGAGAUCCUGAUUAUCUAACAAAUAUAAUGACCUGGUGACUUUUGAAUCCCAGCCUGCAAGUUUAGCAGCUUCAGUUAGAGCAUCCUUCCAUCCUUGCACUUUAUCGUGCUUAAGGUGCUGCUCAUGCUUUUCGAAUGCUUCAUUGUAUCUUUGUUCCUGCUUCCUAAUAGUUGAUGGAUCCACCUUGUAGAAAACAGGUAUGACAUCCCUUCCAAAUCUCUUCUUGCAUUCAAGUAUCUUAGUGAGUUCAUUCAAGCACCAAGUGGAAGAUGCAUAGUCUUGGGAGAAAACGAUGACAUAAAUCUUUGAUUCUUCUAUUGCAGAGAGGAGAGCAGGUGAAAUUUCUUCGCCCCUGUUUAAUCUGUAAUCAAUAUACGCUUCAAUGUUCUUCCUCUGCAGCGCUGCAUAAAGGUGACUAAUGAAGUUGUCACGUGUGUCUUCCCCUCUGAAGCUGAGAAACACAUCAUGCUUUGUUAGAGAAGUAGACACGGGGAAUGAUGAAGAACUUCCUGACAUUGGAAUCAAUUUUCUCUCCUUUCUCUGCAAAUCUCAGAUUCCUUUGUUUGUACCAUUUCUACCUGAAGAAGUGUUUAAAUUUUCUCAAAAUACCUUGCACAGCGUGUUCUGGUCAGACAUAAAGAAAAAGACAAAUAUUAAGUUAAUAGAAUAGUCAACAAUUUAAAAAAUAAGUAUGAAAUAUAGAUAUAUAUCAUUAUCACGUGUGGAAGCUACGUCGUCUUGUAUUGGAUUUUCUAAUCUGCCUUUUAUCUUGUCUCAUUCUUCUUUAUCUUUUUUCUCUCAUCUCUCUUGCUUACGAUUUCUUUGCCUUUAUUCAGAAAUUUUAUUUAUAAUAAACCUUCAAUAAUAUUUGUACUUUCUAGCAUAUAGAAUACUUAAUGGAUCCUUUUCUGAUUUUUCUUUUCUAAAGUGCAAUUGAUAUUUUAAAUGUUUUUCUAUUUAAUUUUCCUUUCUUAAUGACACAUAAAAUGGUUCAGUGCACAAUUAAUUACUCUCACCUUAGAUUUCAUUCAUCUCAUUCCAUUUCCACACUCAAAUCAUUCUCACAUUUGUUUCUACCUGUUUCACAAAGUUUUAGUUAAAAUAUGGAAAUUAAUGUUCAAGAACCCUACUUAAUAUUAAUAUUCAACAAUUUAAAAUAUUAAAAUGCAAAUUAAUCUUUCUUAAUAAUGUCAUUUUUAUGUAAAAAAUAAAAUGUAGUUUAGUCAUUUAUACUUAGAUGGAUAAAGAUGGUUUUAGAAAAAAAAAUGCAUUUUAUUUCAAAGGUUAUCUAAGCUCUGAACUCAUUUAUGAAUUAAUAAUAAUAAAUAAUAUGUAAUUGUAUUCCAAUACCAUAUAAUUUUUUUUAUUGGGUGCGUUUCUGAUGAAUUAAUUAAUGCACUCUAGGGACAAUGAUCGCUCUAGUAUUUGAUUUUUUUAUUUAUUUUAAUGUUGAAAUUAUAGCUAUUUAGUACAGAUACUAUUGACACCGACACAGAUACGACACAGACACAGAGAUACUUAAAAUCUCUAAAAUGUAAGAUACAGAGACAUUAAUCUAUAUAUUAUAUAAUUAUGAAUUAUAUAAAUUAACAAUAAAGACUUAUGUGCACAAGUAUUUUGGAGAUUAUUUUUUAAGCAGAAAUAUGUUUUUCAUGACUGUUUCACAAAGAUUUGUUUCUUAUUUUUAUAAUCAUAAUAACAAUUUAUACCAUAAAGUUUGAAUUUUAGAAAAUUAAUGUAUUUUUUCUUUUUAAAAUUCCGUUAGAAUCGUACUAAAAUUGUAAAAAAUCUAACAAAUACAUUUUGAAUUGGACAUUUCACAAAUACAUGUCCUACCAGUAUCAUACGAAUGUAAACAAAAUUCUUUCUUCAUAUGCCGCAUUCUUUUACUGUGAUAACUCAUUUCAACUCUCUCACAACUGAUUCGUAAUCUGUGGGAUGCAUUAAAGCCUUUUGCAGUUAAAUCAAUAGUAUAUGAUGAUGUGAAUGUUAUUUAUAUACUAAAUAUAAUCACAUAGUAACUUCAAAUUUGAUAAGGUACAACAUGUUACCAUAUCUCUUUUAAUUUCUUUUAUUUCAUUAUAUAUUUAGGUGUAUUUAAUUUCUUUUUAUUUCAUUGUGUAUUUAGGUGUAUUACGUAAAAUAUAUAAUUAAAAAGAAAGAAGAAUAAUGUUAUUUUUAAAUUUAAAGAAUGACAUAUAGAAAUAAACAAGCUAUUUUGAAAUUUUUAGAUUUUACAAAACAUUACAUUUUGAUUUUAAUAUUUAUAAAAUAUUUUUUAAUUUCAUAUUUAAAACACAACACUUAGUUGAGUGUGUUCCUUAGUUACUUACCAAAUAACAACAUACAUCUUAUCGGGUCUUUUUGCGACCCGACCCAAACUCAUCUCGAUCCUAGUAGGGUUCGCAUCAUCUUCAAUUGAGGAGUAGAUUUGUCAGGAGGAAAAUAAAUUGAUUUAUAAGAACAUGUGAAGUUGUUUAGAUUGAGGAAUAAUAGAUGGAUUUUGAUUAUGAUUUAUGGUAAGUUUAAAAAAAAUAGAUUUGUUUCUUUUAACAUUUUUUGUAUUAUAAUUAUUUGCUGGCUGAAUUGUUUUGAGUUAACAUGUUUUCUUGGGGUAUGAUAUUGUGAGGUUUUAUUACAUGCAGGUACGUGAAUAUUUUUUUUAUUCUAGUUGUAUAAAUCAGGAAAAAAUGUUUUUCACAAUAUAAUUAUAAUAACCGUUUAACAACCUAAAUAAUAAUAAAAUAUUAACUCAUAUUAUUUAAUUAAAUUAUUAAAUAAAAAGUAGUAAAACUGAUUGUAGGAUGGGAAUAUGAUUAUUUUUAACUGCUAGCUCCUCAUUAUUCUUUUAUAAUAAAAAACACACUAGUAGGUGUUGAAAAUCGUAAUAUAACAAACAAGUUUUGACACACGUAGGUUUGGCAAUUGUUUUAAUAGCUGAAAAUAGUAAAACAAUUUUUAAUUACCACAAACUGCAUCUUAAAUCAUAAAAAAUAGCAUUUUUUAGUUCAUAUAUAAUAACAUUUCCAUAAAUAAAUCUCCCGCCGCCAUUGAUAUUAAUCAUUAAUAAUUUUAGAUAAUAUUUUUUACUAUAAAACAUUUAAUUGAGAUUGAAUUUUUAAUUCACACUUUUUGGUCAAAGAAUAAUAUAUUUCAUUUUUUUAUUUAUUAAAUAUUUUGUAUAAUGCUGAGAAAAAAAAAUCUCACACACACACACACAUAUAUAUAUAUAUGAUCCCUAUGUCCUACAAGUACAAUAUAACAUCGUUAGUAUAAUGAAUAAAAAUAAUGAGUAUUCAAAGUCGUGUAUUUACGUAAAAGAAUAACAUGAUUUUUAAAAGAACUCACAUUAUCAGUUUAAAUUUUGACGAUAAAAUACAUUAAUUAUAUAUAUUUAUUCAAAAUUUCAAUUAUAUUAUGCAUUAAUGGUUUUAUGCUUUUAGAGGAAUCAGAGAAACUUAGAAAAGCUUAAUGAAACCCUAUGAAUAAAGGAGAUGUAAAAGAAAGAGAAAAAGGAAGUGAGAAAAGAUGAUAAUUAAUAAACACCCACUCUUCAUAACAUAGAGUCUUUAAACCUAUAUUCCCUCAAACAGCAUUUAUAAGUUAUUAUCACCCACAUGGAAUAAGGUGCCUCAAUGUGAACAAACCAAGAUCAGUAAGAAAUAUGAGGUUCAAAUAACGAAGCUGAGAAUUUUCUGGUUUUACAGCUCCAUGCACAAACCUAAUACAAUGAUAUGAUAUUCCAUAGGAUGGAGAAAAGUAUGAUAUGAAGAGGAUUUACCAAUUACCCUUUCGAAUGCAGCUCCUCAGGAUUCCAUCAUGCCUUCACUGCACAUGCAACCCAAAUAUGCUAAAGAAGUUAAUCAAACCCAAAUAUAAAGAAUUUCUAGAGAAUGCAACUCUGGGACAACAGAGUACCCCAUCUCAAGCUGAACAGAAACAUUAAACUAUAUCUAACAAUAACUUAGAAAUCUUUGUCAACAAUGAACGAAUCCAACCGUAAAAUGCCAUUGAAAAUGUAAAUAAAACAAAAUAAAUUAGAUAUGAGAAAUUCAUGAUAAAAUUUCAACACUUGUAAUGUAGAAGCAUUACGAUAAGCCAGUUUUGAUCCUCACCAAUGAAAGUCUAAUUAGCAGAAGAGGAAGAGACUAGUUGACUGGGUAGCUUUCUGCAAUGCCUAUUUUAAGGUUACGCUUCCGGCAAAAAUAUAAUAGAAGACUGCUCUCAUGUCAAAGUUUCUCAUACAUAGAACAACCCGCAAAAGAGAUUAAACAUUCCAAAAGAUGUCUCAACAGAAAUGAAAUGAGAUCCUAACAACUUGUUGGGAAAGUACUAUUUUGCCUUCAAUUCCAUUACUUCCUUUUGCCUUUAAGAGUGCAGUCAUAAUCAUCAAAAUACUUAGACUUUGUGAUAUGUCUUUUGGGCUUGCUAUUCAUCUUUUGUUGCCUCCUCUUGAGCCAUAACACUUUUGGCCUUCCUCUUCCUAUAUUCCCUUGUGUCUCUUGAAGACUGUGCAACAUUACUUCGACUGGAUUAUUCAAUGUGAACAGCACCACCAUAUUCAUCAUCUUUCUUUUUGGAAUAAAGAGGGCAUAUGCCGCAUUCUUUUACUCUGAUAUCGGGCCACCAAUGGCUGAUCUCAAAAGUGAAGCUGCGAGCAUCACAGAGCCUAAGGCUCAUGCCGCUUGCCCUUAGGGACUCCAAGUUAAAUUUCCACACAAAUGUGUGAUCUUUAUCAAGAAAUCUGCCUGCAUCCGUCAAGUUUAACACAUCAUUAUUUGGAAUGAUCUGUGUGCCAUCAUCAUCAGAUUCAAAUUUUAGGCUGUAACCAAAAGAACUAUAUCUACCUUUAAUAUCAUUCGUAUCUAACACUUCAAAAACCACGCACAAAGAGAAACCAGUGAGCCUAUUAUCGCUGCAAAAACUUAAAUCUUCAUUUAUAGUCACUGAAUGUCCCUUCCCACGAAAAUGGAACCAACCAGGAACUGCACUCCCUGGAUAACAGAAGAACACAGACCUAUAUGCAUCGUCGGUCAUCCUAAGCCUUGCAUCCUUCUCAAUGUUAGCACGACCACCUGAAUCCAGUUGUUGAGCAUUGGUGAAAUGAAAUUUGAAUACACCCUCUUUGGAAUUUGAGAGGUUCCGAACAAGAGAAUUUGACAUCACUUUUCUAAUGGAUGGGCAAUCCAAUGCCACGAGUUGUUUUAGAAAUGGUGGAAUCGGUGGGAUGCAUUCAAGCUUUUUGCAGUCGCUUAAAUCAAGCGAUUUCAAGCUCGAAAGAUGAGCAAUGCUCUCAGGAAGGUUCACGAUUCCGCUAUCACGCAGUGACAGUUCCAUUAAUGACGUCAAACGACCAAUGUGCCUUGGGAUUUCUGUUAAUUUGGCACACCCCGAACAAUCAAGUUUAGAGAGAAGCUUCAGAUUAACAAUGCAGUUUGGAAGUGACUCGAGAUCAGUGCAUUUGCGGAGCUCCAGGGAACGAAGAUUAACGAAAUUGGCAAAUGAGGAAGGCAGUUCUUUAACAGUCGUAGAUGUUAAGUUAAUGUGAGCAAAAGUAUGAGCCGACUCCGUGAUCUCUGGGAAGGUCCUCAGCCUUGAGCAACCACGCAAAUCAAGGUUCCUCAACUUCAAAUUGAAAAUGGUGCUUGGAAAAGUUUGAAGUGAAUUACAGUGGGCAAGGUCUAACUUGCAUAGUCUGGUGAGGCUUCCAAUGGAAGAUGGAAUAAUCUCAAGAUUGAAGCAACUGUGCAAACUCAGUUGUUGAAGCCCUACCAAACGGCACAAGGAUGAAGGUAGUGCCUGUAUGGCUGUGUCGUCUAAGAUGAGCACCGCUAGAUCUUCCAACGUGUCCUGAAUCUCGGGUAAAUUUUCCAGUUUUGAGCAACCACUGAGACAAAGUUGCUUUAGGAAUUUCAUAUCAGAAAGGUCAAACGGAAAGAUUGUAAGGGAAGAACAGUCAGAGAGAUCUAAGUAACAGAGGUUCUUGAGACUUUGAAAGUUUAAGGGCACACCUUCCAAGAGACUGUUGAACACCUCUGAGUCUUCUGAGUCUGUAGCAUUAUUAGCCACUUCUAUAUUAUAUCUGUCAAAAGUAAUUGACAAAAUUUCACUGCUUGGGGAAAUUUCACUGGAAGUUGGGAAAUUUAUCUCUUUCGUCAUAUCCAGUUCCUGACGCUCCAGUAUGACAUGAGGGAGAAAUUUAUCUUCAUGUUUACUGAUUGAAAACAUAUUAAGCUUCCGACAAUGGGAAAGAGUAAUCCAUCCUGGUGAUGUGGAUAAAAUGUUGCUCGGAAUAUUUACACUAUUCAGAUCAUCACAAUGAUCUAAACAUAAACAACUGAGUUUGCUGAGGAAUAUCGAAGAGUGAAUUUCAAUCAACUUUUUACAAUAACUCAGAAUUAUUUUUUCAAUAUUUGGUGACAUAGAAAGGUCUGGUAUUCUAGCAAGUUUCCAAGAACGUGUCAGGUCGAGCCUUUUCAAGUUGGGUAAAUUCUGCCACAAAAAGUAAAUGAAUCAGGUAACAAAUAAUAACUACUUUAUCUAUUUUUCUUCCUAUUUAAACUAUUAGCUACUACUAUUGAGUUUAUAUUUUACAUUACUUAAAAACCACUGUUAAAAAAGCCACACUGUGGACUAACAAAAUUAUAUUUUAAAAUAUUAUUAAAGAUAAAAUAUGAAGAUAGGGUAAUUAAAUUAAAUAUAAUUUUUAUUUUUCAGAAAUGAUGAAAAUUAUAAUUAAAUUAACUAAAUUAUAUAAAAUUCCAUUUUAUUUACAUAACUCCUUUUCAUAUUAAAAAACUAUAUAAGAUCUUGAAACUAUAAUUAAUAUCUUAAAAAUUUAAAUAAUAAUAAUUAUUUCUACUCAUCCUUAAUUUUUGUUGGUGAAAUCUUGAUUUUUGGGAUAAUAUCACUUAAACUUAAGAAAUAUUUGACAUUAAUGAACUCUAAACAAAUUUAUAUAAGAAAUCAAGACAUCACUUUCAAUCCGAAAUCUUAAACUAAUAGGUUUAUGGAUUUUCUUUAUAUGUUGUUCAUCUUACCAAUUUGAACCCAAUGCGAGACUUUCAACUCUAAGAGAUGAAGUGGUGUACUUUAUGCUUCUAGGACUUGUUAGAUAUUGAAACAUGUACCAUUGCUAAAAUGUUUGAAUGAAGGAGAAGUCAAAGUCUCUCUCCUUUAGAGAUAUUCGCUCAAGUGGCAAGAGGUUGAUUAAGCAAGAGAGAGAUCGUAUUAAUUCUCUCUUCUAUGCAAUUGUUGUCGUUCAAACAAUGUGGAAUCAUUCAAGCAAAGAAAUCUUCUUUUGGGUUAGGAAACAAGGUUUUUCAAGCGAGAUAAACUCGUCUAAAGAAUUUAACUCUAGUAGUGAAAUGUUGUUGCCAUGAUUUAGCCAAGUGUUUGUAUCUAUGAGGCUAAUGAUGAUGAUGACGAUGAUAAGAUGCAUGAAUGUGUAUACACAAGUGUAUGAUAUACCUCAUGUUAUAUAUUGUAUGUGAUUCAAUUGAUGACCAUUUAUUUUUAGGCCAUUUAUAUGUAUAUUUUGGCCCUUUUAUGAGUAUGUGACGAGAUAUACCUAAGAUUGUAUUAUGAUCCUAAUGAGUCGAAGUAUCAAACACAAAACUCAUUAUGGAAAAAAAAAGAUAUUUUGUGCAUCAGUUAUGAUAUGAUCACAACAAUUAAAGCAUGUGUGAACGGUUAAUAUUGUUCUUAAUAAGAAAACAAAUAAUAUUGUAUGUGACAUUAGAGAUGUCAAAUAGGUUUAGAAAAUUAUUAAGUUUAAUUAUCUUUUUAGUCUUUAUAUUAAUGACCAAAAGUCAAUUCAGAUUUUUAGAAAGUUCAAUAUGAUUUAAUUUUUUAAAAAACAAUUCAAUGUGAUUCCUUCUAGUAUAUUUCCCUUAUUAAAAUAUUUUUAUCUUAAUGAUUCUGCCACUGUUAAGUUAUAUGUGUUGUUAUCACAUUGAAUUGUUUUAAAAAAAUUUGGAACCACCACAUUAAAUUGUUUUAAAAAGUUAGUACUAAAUUGAACUUUUGAAAAUUGGGAGAAUGAAAUUAAAUUUUGUCUAUUAAUACAGGGACAAAAAAUAAUUGAAUCAAAUAUUUUACUAUUUUUGUGAUGUAUAUUUAUAUAUAAAUAAUUUUGAGAAUUUAGAGUUACAAUGUGUUAUAUCAUAUAUAUAUAAUUCUUUUUGGUAAUGUAUCCUGUAGUUGUAAGCAAGUAUGAUUAUAUUAAGUGGGGCGUUUCAAAUAGUGGAGACUACGCAUAUACAAAUAUCUCUUAUAAAGUAAGAAAACAAAACAAUCGUUACUCAAGAAGAUCAUGCAAUGCAUCACAGACAACAUGGGAGAUAUAUAUCAACAAUAAUAUGAGUAAAUAAUACAUUCAUGGGCCAUUAGACGAUAUGCCUAAAAAAAAUAUGCAAACUAUUAAAUUUAUAAUUAUUUUUAAUUAGAAACAUGCUGAGUAUGACUCUUAUGAUAUAUGUAUAACUGUGUGCUUCAAAUAAAAGAAAUUUCAAAUCGAAUAAUGUGGAGAAGGCACAAAGGAAUUGCAAAUGAAAACCUGUAGAUGUAUAAUACACAAAACAUGCUUGUCUAAUUUAUUUUUAUCUUUGAAAGUUUAGAACACAAAGGAACAUAGAUAACUUGAAAAACCUGAUCUCCUUCCCAGAGUUGUUCAAGAUCGCAGUAUGGCAUUUCGAGGAUCACUAGAUUUUGUGGGCAAAAGUUUGGAGGCCAGAAUCUUUGAAGGAAACCGUUCCAAUAAAGAAACUUUAGAGUGUCCGGCAGACCUACAAGAGAUGAUUCAAGAGACACUUUUGAAUUCAAUCUAGGCAUGUAGACCAUAAGCAUCAUAAGAUUGUCCAUCUUUUCGAAACUUUGUGCAUGUACUACAGCAUCUUUUACUUUGUUCGUAUGAUAUUGAUAUACACUGUAUUGCAUCUGACCCCUGAAAGUAAAUCAAUGUAAUUAGAAAAAAAAACAUGAAAUGUUGCAUUUCAGGAUGCUUAAUGACAGCUCAGUAGUUUUCUAUUUUUCACAAAGUAACAACAGCAUAUACCUUGUUCUUUCUUAAAACCUCACAAAUUUCCUCAUCAUUAAACAAUCGGCUGCGUUUUCCAGGAUGCUGAGGACACUCUUUACGAACAAUUUCUUUACCCAUUUCUUGUAUUAGAUCGUGCAUCACAAUUCUACCAUCAAAGACAGAGAUUAGACCCCUAUCUUUGAGAAUAUCCAUUCCAAUCUUAGAAGAGAAACCACAGUCAUCAAGUGUUUCUGCUACCACAGUCUCCUCUUGCCCUCUAUAAAAGCAAGCUAUGUCAAGAAAUAUAUUCUUCUCCUCCUCCUUGAGCCCAUAAUAACUUAAUUUUAAUACGUCGAAAGUUCCAAGAUCUUGGCCGUUUUCCAACUUUUGCAACUGACUCUCCCAUGCUUCUCUUGUUCUGCCAUAAAGCAAUGACCCCAAAAUCUGGAGAGCUAACGGAAUUCCUUUUGCAUAUCUCAACACCUUUACUGACAGGUCCAUGUAAGCAAUUCCUUCUGAAGAUUUUUGUUUAAAAGCAUGUAAACUAAAAAGUUUCAGAGAAUCAUAAAAAUUCAACUCCUUAACUUCGUAGAUAUCAUCAGCUCCAGCAUUCUUAAGCACUUGUCUGUCUCUACUGGUCAUAAUGAUUCUACUGCCCUGCCCAAAACUAUCACUCCCACCUAUUAAUUUUUGAAGUUGAGUUGAAUCGGUAACAUCAUCAAGAAUGAGGAGAACCUUUGUCCGUUUGAGCCUUUCAUUGUAAUAUGGUAAAUAAGAGGAUUUCUCUUCCUUUAGAAGCUCAGACUGAUAUUUUGUUCUGAUACCGUCUAUUCCAUCUCUUUGUAUUUUUUCUUGAACGUCUAAAACAAGGCUGCUGGAAUCAAACUGCAAUGCCAAUUUCUGAUAUAUUUGAUCACAAAUUGUAGUUUUUCCUAUUCCUCCCAUGCCACAAAUUCCUAUGAUCCGAACAUCCGUUGACUCAAGAUGCAACAAGGACUGAAUUCCUUCAAUAUUUUUUUCAAUGCCGAUGAUUCCUUGAUCAUAACUGGCGGAAUAACGAUUCAAUUUUCUCAAAAUAUCUUCCACAAUUUCUUCAACAAGUGCGUGUUCUGGCCUGGCAGAUGAUUUAGAAAAUAAAGUAUAAGUAUUCAAGCACAAAAGCUAAAGUAAACUAAAGAAAAAUUUUACAGUAACCGUUUGUGACUUCUGAUACUAGGGAGCAUACUUGUAGGUACAAAGUUAAGCUAUUGUGUGAUAUGGUUCAGAUCUAUGACCGACUAAUAGAAAUGAAAAAAGAAGCACUUGAUUUAUGGUGAGAUGAACACAAUUUUAGUAAAUGAAAAGAGAUCCUGAUUAUCUAAUAAAUAUAAUGACCUGGUGACUUUUGAAUCCCAGCCUGCAAGUCCAGCAGCUUCGGUGAGAGCAUCCUUCCAUCCUUGCACUGUGUCGUGCUUAAAGUGCUGCUCAUGCUCAUUGAAUGCUUCUUUGUAUCUUUCUUCCUGCUUCCUAAUAGUUGAUGGAUCCACCUUGUAGAAAACAGGUAUCACAUCCCUUCCAUAUCUCUUCUUGCAAUCAAGUAUCUUAGUGAGUUCAUCCAAGCACCAUGUGGAAGAUGCAUAGUUUUUGGAGAAAACGAUGACAUAAAUCUUUGAUUCUUCUAUUGCAGAGAGGAGUACAGGUGAAAUUUCUUGGCCCCUGAGUAAUCUGUAAUCAAUAUAUGCUUGAAUGUUCUUCCUUUGCAGCGCUGCAUAAAGGUGACUAAUGAAGUUGUCACGUGUGUCUUCCCCUCUGAAGCUGAGAAACACAUCAUGCUUUGUUAAAGAAGCAGACAUGGCCAAUGAUGAAGGGUUUCAAUGUUCUCUGCAACUCUCAGAUCCCUUUGUUUGUAAGCAACUUCCAUAUAUUCUAUUAGGAAGGAAAAUAUAUAUUUCUACCAUUCCUACCACAAAUUGAAAAAGCCUUUCAAUUUUCUCAAAAUAUCUUUCACAGCUGUGUUCUGUCAGAUACGAAACAUUGAGUCAAUGGAAGAGUCAACAAUUGGCAGAAUAUUAUGGUGUGUAGCUUUAUACCAUUCUUACAAUAUUUGAUUGGUUGAAUAUAUACAAUAUGACUAAUGAACUUUUUUCUUUUCCGUAUUCCACGAUAAUUCCCUAGGCACCCUAUUAUACACUUUCUUAUCAACGGAAACCAUGUCUGUCCUUUUAUAGUUUUAAUCCUAUAAUAUCUUUCCAUUAAUCAUCAUUAUCACUCUUCAACCUUCAUAUCAAGUGUAUUGAUUUCAUACUUCAUCAGCUAGACAUAAUAAAAUCUCAAUAAUCUUUUAUACUGUCAACAUUUAUAAAAAAUAUUUCCUUCAAUAAUAUUUGUACUUUCUAGCAUAUAGAAUACUUAAUGGAUUCUUCUGUGAUUUUUCUUUCCUAAAGUACAAUUGAUAUUUUAACAGAUGCCGAAAGGUCUUGAAUAUGAGGCUGUUUCGAAAUGAAAAUUGGGGUAAAGCAUUUUCAAGUUAACAAGUUUUGUUGGGUGAGUGAGUGAUCAGUGCUAGCAUUUUCAAUCUCAGUUAUAGAAUGUAAAGAUUUACACAUUUAUUUGCUGAUUAAUAAUUUAUUUAUUGAAUUAAAUGUUUUAACAGUGAGUAUGGAUUCUUGAAUGAAUGUAAUCAUGGUGUAGAAUGUACAUAGUACAUAUAGUGAGUUGGAUUGAAAUGUUGAACACGUUUUCCUCUGCAAAGAUUCAGGAUAUUUAUGAACUUGCUAUAAAUUGUUUUAACUUUUCUCUGCAACUCUCAGUCCCUUUGUUUCUACCAUUUUGUUUUUGAAAAGCCUUUCAAUUUUCUCAAAAUAUCUUUCACUGCUGUGUUCUGUCAGAUACGAAACAUUGAGUCAAUGGAAGAGUCAACAAUUCGUAGAAUAUUAUAUUAUGGUGUCAAUAUUUAAUAAAUUUAUUUAUUUCUUUAACAUAUUUUAGAAAAUAACCAGUAAACAUAAAACUUUUAGUAUGACUAAAAGAAUAAAGAUAGUGUAAGAAUAACAGGAAUAACAUUACUACAAAUAACAAUAUAUUAAUAUUAAUAUGUUUCUUAAUAAAUUUUACACCCACUGUCUAUUUAUAAAUUAAUAUAUUAUAAACAUCUAUUGAUUUUUUGUGGGUAGCUUAUUUCUGUAACAUUUUAAAUUAAUUUUUUAGAUUUUACAAAACAUUACAUUUUGAUUAUAAUAUUUAGGACUGUGAUGCAAUUUCUGCAAUGAAGGCUGGCAGACUAAGUUUCUCCAAGCCCAAUUAAUACUGGGUUGAAAAUUCUGAGAAGAGGGUGAGUAUGAUGCUGCGGUCAUGAUCUAUGUAUUAAAGUGUUAAGGCAUGGGUUUGGUUGACAGGACAAUACUGGUUUUUCAUUGCUACUACUUAAUAUGAUUCUUUCUUACUGCUAUAUGAAUUUGCUGUCAAAUAGCAGUAAAUAAAAGACUUCAAAUAAAGCAUGUGUUUAUCAUACAUGGACUAAUGCAGCAGUUUUAGUAGAAGGGGCUAAUAUGAUUUUAAUCUAGAACAAGAUGGCUAAACCCAAAGAUGGUGGGAAUAAUAUCCUCAAAUCAAUUGUUUUGGUUUUCAGUGUAAUGUCAUUUGUAAGUAUCAAAAUUUGUUUGUUAUCACAUUGGAAGGUAGUAUCUGUCAUGAAAUUUGUGGAAGACCUUUACCUAUGUUUGCUUUGGGUCUGUUUUACGCCCUCUCGAAUUAAGUAAAUUUUUAAUUGCCAUCAUGAAAUUAGGCUAAAUAUGUGUAGUUUUGAGCACUUUCUUUCUUCCAUUUCAAUUCAUAGUUUCAUACAUAUUCAAUAUCAUGUGGGAAUUAAGUUCUUGCUUUUAAGGUGAAUAACAGUUUGUAUUCUUGCAGAAAACUAUUUUCUAAUGCAUAUAAAUUUCAUUUUCUAUUUUCAGCAUUGGAUUAUGUUAUGUAAUUUUUCCUUUGUAUUAUACAGAGUAGGAUUUUAAUGUUUCUACUGAACAGUGCUAUCUUUUUUCGUCCAUAUUCUGAUUUUGUUCAAUUUUUUUCAGUAUGUGCCACAUGCAGAUCAGAUGUAAGGAAUUUUCUAAAUUUUUUUUCAAGCUUUCUUGUUUGCUUAAAGUUUUCUGUAAGUAUUUAACUGUCUUAAGUUGUUAAUGAGGACUAAGGACUGAAAAAGAGAAUUAGCCAUGACAUGGUGGCAUUAUCCUUCUUCAAAACCAUUAGUUUUUUUUCCUACAAAGAUACAUGUCAAGAAAGCAAACCAGGAACAAAAGUGAUGUUUAUGAUUGCUUUCUCUCUUGUUUACUUGCUUUCUUUUUGUUGGACAAUUGUCUUAAUUGCAUUCACACCUAACCUGCAGUAGUUUCAGUCCCUUUGGGGUUGUCAUAAUUGCAGCCUCAAGAGUGGUGGUGUAGUCCAACAUCAACCAGUGAUAUAGUUCAAAUAUAGCAUAUACAUGAAAGUCGUGUUGAUAAUCAAAGGUUGCUUCAUCUUAACUAAUAACAUGUAAAUGUCAUUUGAAUGGUUAAAAAGGAAUUCACCAGUGUAACACAAAAUGAAUGGAUUGCUUGGUUAUGUGUCAACUGUUGUACUUUUUUUGAGUUGCUUGAAAAUAAUUAAAAUUUGUUUUCAUCUAGAUCUUGGUUUUUUCCUAUGAUCAAAUCUCGAUUUAUUUCUGUGCAGAACUUUCUUGUGGACAUAAAAGGACCAGCUAUAGCAUUUUUACCGGUGCUUGCAUUUGAAGGAGGAACUAGAAGAAAUAUACCUAGGUUUGAGGUGUGUAUAAAUUAUUUUUGAUGUAUUUCGUGAUGUAGAUGUAAAAUAAUGCAAUACUUUGUUUUUAGUUUCAAUGUUACUCUUUAUCUGCAGGUUGGAAACAUAUCUUGAUGAAAUAUAGAAACAUUUUUAUUCAUAAUAUAUAUAUAAGGAUUACACAUUCAUAAUUAUUUCUUUCUGUCGUAGCAUUGUCUACCUCAAAUCACUGCAACUUUCUGUUGUUGGUAUAAAAAUACAAUAUUUUAAUCCCAGUUUUGAUAGCCUCUAUUCUUCAGUGGUUGAGAUAUUUUUUAUAAGAAUUUAGAAGUUCUGAGAUAUUUAUGAUAAGAAUUUCAAGUUCUUUGUUACUAGCAGUUUAAUGGUUAUAUCAUUUUUGUUCUCUGGAAAAUAUCUUAUACAAAAUCGGUACUUAGAUUUGGUAUUUAUAUUGUUCAUAUGUAGAAAUCUAAUACUAGCAAAUUUUGUCUAAUUUAAAAGCAAUUACAUUCUACUCUUUGGAAUAUGUUCUGGCCUGCUUUUAUGAAUUAUUUGAAAAUUUGUAAUUAUAAAAUUUAGUCUUUGAAAUUAUAAAUUUAAUAGAGAAGCAUCCAUACUAAACUUUUAUAUUAUAAAUUGUCAGUUUUAUAUUGAAAACAUAUCCCCUUUAGUAUAAGACUUAAAGGAGAUGUCUUUUGGUAUAAAAACUGAAAUAAAAAAUAUUUUAACUAUAUGGGUCAAAUGGAUGAUUAAACUUAUAAAAUGUACAAUUAAACUUAUAAAUUAUAAUAAACGAUACUUUAAUUUUAAACUAUAUUGAACUUUUAUUAAUGUUCUCGCUUUUCUUUAAAAGCUAUUGAACUCUAUCUAACAAUAACUUAAAAAUGAGAAAUUCAUGAUAAAAUUUCAACACUUGUAAUCUAGAAGUAUUACGAUAAGCCAGAAGAGGAAGAGACUAGUUGACUGGGUAGCUUUCGGCGUUCCUCUUCCUAUCUUCCCCUGUUUCUCCUGAAGAGUGUGCAACAUUGCUUCCACUGAAUUCUUCAAUGUCAUUUUCUGAUGCAGAAUAGUCAACAGCACCACCAUAUUUAUCAUCUUUCUUUUUCGUAUAAAGAGGGCAUAUGCCGCAUUCUUUUAUUCUGAUACCUGAUUUCAACUCUCUCUCAACUGAUUCGUAAUCUGGCCGAUUUGGCCGCAGAAAGGGAUCAUACGGACUGAUCUCAAAAGUGAAGCUGCGAGCAUCACACAGCCUAAGGCUCAUGCCGCUCGCCAUUAGGGACUCCAAGUUAAAUUUCCACACGAAUGUCCCUUCACCAUCCCAUUUGAAAUAGCUAUUUAACACACCCUUAUAUGGAAUGAUCUGUGUGCCAUCAUCAUAUUCAAAUUUUAGGCUGUAACGAAAAGAACCAUAUCCACCUUUAAUAUCUAACACUCCAAAAGCUACACACAAAGCGAAACCAGUGAGCCUAUCAUCGCUGCAGAAACUUAAAUCUUCAUUUAUAGUCACUGAAUGUCCCUUCCCACGAAAAUUGAACCAACCAGGAACUGCACUCCCUGGAAAACAGAACAACACACACCUAUAUGUAUCGUCGAUCAUCCUAAGCCUUGCAUCCUCCUCGAUGUUAGCACGAGCACCUGAAUCCAGUUGUUGAGCAUUGGUGAAAUGAUAUUUGAAGACACCCUCUUUGGAAUUUGACAAGUUUGGAACAAGAGAAUUUGACAUCACUCUUCUAAUGGAUGGGCAAUCCAAUGCCUCGAGUUGUUCUAGAAAUGGUGGAAUCGGUGGAAUGCAUUCAAGCUUUUUGCAGUCGCUUAAAUCAAGUGAUUUCAGGCUUGAAAGAUGAGCAAUGCUCUCAGGAAGGUUCACGAUUCCGCUAUCACGCAGUGACAGUUCCAUUAAUGACGUCAAGCGACCGAUGUGUCUUGGGAUUUCUGUUAAUUUGGCACACCCCGAACAAUCAAGUUUAGAGAGAAGCUUCAUAUUAACAAUGGAGUUUGGAAGUGACUCGAGAUAAGUGCACUCUUGGAGUUCCAGGGAUCGAAGAUUAACCAAAUUGCCAAAUGAGGAAGGCAGUUCUUUAACAGCCGUACAUGUCAAGUCAAUAUGAGCAAAAGUAUGAGCCGGCUUCAUGAUCUCUGGGAAGGUCCUCAGCCUUGAGCAACCACCCAAAUCAAGCUUCCUCAAUUUCAAAUUGAAAAUGGUGCUUGGAAAAGUUUGAAGUGAAUUACAGUAGGUAAGGUGUAACUUGCAUAGUCUGGUGAGGCUUCCAAUGGAAGAUGGAAUAAUCUCAAGAUUCAAGCAACUGUGCGAACUCAGUUGUUGAAGCCCUACCAAACGGCACAAGGAUGAAAACUUAUUUUAUUUUUGCUGUUCAUGCAUAACAUUAACAAAUAUUGACAUGAGAGAUUGUGUUUGUAGGCUUCUAAGCUCACCAACGUGUCCCGUUCUUGAUGCUUUAGGGAAGAAAAUUUCCUUUGAGAUUGCAAAAGGACUCAGGAGAAUUUAGAAGUUCUGAGAUAUUUAUGAUAAGAAUUCAAGUUCUUUGUUACUAGCAGUUUAAUGGUUAUAUCAUUUUUGUUCUCUGGAAAAUAUCUGAUACAAAAUUGGUACUUAGAUUUGGUAUUUAUAUUGUUCAUAUGUAGAAAUCUAAUACUAUAGCAAAUUUUAUCUAAUUUAGAAGCAAUUAUAUUCUACUCUUUGGAAUAUGUUCUGGCCUGCUUUUAUGAUUGUAAUUAUAAAUUUAAUAGAGGAGAUUACCAAACAUCCAUACUAAUUAAACUUUUAUAUUAUAAAUUUUUUCAGUUUUAUAUUGAAAACAUAUCCCUUUAGUAUAAGACUUAAAGGAGAUGUCUUUUGGUAUAAAAACUGAAAUAAAAAAUCUUUUAACUAUAUGGGUCAAAUGGAUGAUUAAACUUAUAAAUGUACAAUUAAACUUAUAAAUUGUAAUAAACGAUACUUUAAUUUUAAACUCUAUUGAACUUUUUUUAAUGUUCUCGCUUUUCUUUUAAAUGCAUUUCACUUGUGUGUUUUGUAUUCAGGCUGAUUUUAACUUUAUUCUCAAAUAUACAAAAUAAUUUUUGGUAAUUAUCUUGUGUCGAUCUUGACUUGUAGUAUCAAUGUGAAAUAUGUAAUAAUUACUUUUCUAUGAUUCAGAGGGAAAAUUAUUCCAACUAGACUUUUACAAAUAUAUUUCAAGUGGUAAUAUGAUUUUAAAAAAAAUAGGAUUCGCCACAAAAAAAAGUUACUGUUCCUAAUUGACAUGGUGCUGUCAAAAUUAUUUAAUUACAAUUUAGAUCUUCACUCUACAUAUAAUUAAUUAAUUACCAAUUAUUUAAAAGACUAGUAAAUUAUAAUUUUAAUCUCUCUACAACUUUCUAAAUUUAGUUAUGAUUCUCUCAAAAAAAUUUCCCUUAAAUAUUAAUUAUAAUUACCUUUAGACAGAAACAUUUCUAAUUUAAACAAGCAAAAAUAAGAAAAAAAAAUAGAUUACAAAAACUAAAUUUGAAUUUUUUUAUAUAACUCCAAAUAUAUUUUAUCCAUAAAUAAAUUCUAUUAAUAUUUCAUUUCUGUUUAAAUAGUUUAUUCAUAUUUGUAAUAUUAUUUUCAAAAAACAAUAAUUGUUUUUUGAAUAAAGGUUUACAAAUUCUAUAAUAAUGUAAAUGAGAAGAGGAGUGAGGGUAAAAAUAUGAGAACCUAUGUGAGGGAAUCUUGUGACAAUUUAGCUGGUGUUCAACUUGUGAGAAGUCUUUCAACUUGGUUUUCAAGUUUUAUAUUCAAUUUCUGUUCCUUCAAAUGUUUCUGAUUUUACAGCUCCUCAGGAUUUUACAGCUCCAUGCACAAACCUAAUACAAUGAUAUGAUAUUCAAUCAGCAUUAAUUAGCAUAAACAGGUACCUUGUUGUAAAACUGGGAAUAUGAGAUUCCAUAGGAUGGAGAAAAGUAUGAAGAGGAAUUACCAAUCACCAUUUACCAAUCAUAAUGCCUUCACUACAAAUGCAACCCAAAUAUGCUAAAGAAGUUAAUGAAACUAUAUAUGAAGAGUUUCAAGAAGAUGCAACUCUGGGACAACAGAGCAACCCAUCUCAUGCUGAACACAAACAUCAAACUACAUCUAACAAUAAUUCAGAAAUCUUAAUCAACAAUUGAGCGAACCCACUCCUAAAAUGCCAUUGAGAAUGUAAAUAAAUCAAAAUACAUUAAAAACGAGAAAUUCUUAAUAAAAAUUCAACGUGUUGAACCUUGUAAUUUAGAAGUAUUAACGAGAAGCCAGUUUAGAUCCUCACCAAUGAAAGACUAUUUUACAGGUUAGCUUCCACUGGAUUCUUCAAUGUGAACAGCACCACCAUAUUUAUCAUCUUUCUUUUUGGAAUAAAGAGGGCAUAUGCCGCAUUCUUUUAUUGUCACAACUGACCACCCAAAGUCAUAAAGAGGACUGAUCUCAAAAGUGAAGCUGCGAGCAUCACACAGCCUAGGGCUUAGGGAUUCUAAGUUAAAUUUCCAGACGAAUGUGUGAUCUUUAUCAACAAAACUGUAUUCACCAUUCCAUUUGAAAUGUCUGUUUAACCUAUCAUUAUUUGGAAUGAUAUGUGUGCCAUCAUCAUCAGAUUCAAAUUUUAGGCUGUAACCAAAAGAACCAUAUCUACCUUUAACAGAAUUCGUAUCUAACACUCCAAAAACCACACACAAAGCGAAACCAGUGAGCCUAUCAUCGCUGCAGAAACUUAAAUCUUCAUUUAUAGUCACUGAAUGUCCCUUCCCACGAAAAUGGAACCAACCAGGAACUGUACUCCCUGGAAAACAGAAGAACACAGACCUAUAUCUAUCAUCGGUCAUCCUAAGCCUUGCAUCCUCCUCAAUGUUAGCACGACCACCUGAAUCCAGUUGUUGAGCAUUGGUGAAACGAAAUUUGAAGACACCCUCUUUGGAAUUUGACAAGUUUUGAACAAGAGAAUUUGGCAUCACUCUUCUAAUGGAUGGGCAAUCCAAUGCCACGAGUUGUUUUAGAAAUGGUGGAAUCUGUGGGAUGCAUUCAAGCUUUUUGCAGUCGCUUAAAUCAAGCGAUUUCAAGCUUGAAAGAUGAGCAAUGCUCUCAGGAAGGUUCACGAUUCCGCUAUCACGCAGUGACAGUUUCACUAAUGACGUCAAGCGACCGAUGUGUCUUGGGAUUUUUGUUAAUUUGGCACACCCCGAACAAUCAAGUUUAGAGAGUAGCUUCAGACUAACAAUGGAGUUUGGAAGUGACUCGAGAUCAGUGCAUUUGCGGAGCUCCAGGGAUCGAAGAUUAACGAAAUUGGCAAAUGAGGAAGGCAGUACUUUAACAGCCGUAUAUGAUAAGUCAAUGCGAGCAAAAGUAGGAGCCCGCUCCGUGAUAUCUGGGAAGGUACUCAGGCUUGAGCAACCACACAAAUCAAGCUUGCUCAAUUUCAAAUUGAAAAUGCUGCUUGGAAAAGUCUGAAGUGAAUUACAGCGGGUGAGGUGUAACUUGCAUAGUCUGGUGAGGCUUCCAAUGGAAGAUGGAAUAAUCUGAAGAUUGAAGCAACUGCGCAAACUCAGUUCUUCAAGCCCUAUCAAACGGCACAAGGAUGAAGGUAGUGCCUGUAUGGCUGUGGCGUCUAAGAUGAGCACCGCUAGAUCUUCCAACGUGUCCUGAAUCUCGGGUAAAUUUUCCAAUUUUGAGCAACCACGGAGAGAAAGUUGAUUUAUGAAUUUCAUAUCAGAAAGGUCAAUUGGAAAGAUUGUAAGAGAAGAACAGUGAGAGAGAUCUAUGUGAGAGAGCUUCUUGCCACUAAAUUGUAAGGGCACACCUUCGUAGUCUUCUGAGUAUUCUGAGUCUGUAGCAUUAUUAGCAUUUAUCUCUUUCAUCAUAUCCGGUUCCUGACGCUCCAGUAUGACAUGAGGGAGAAAUUUAUCUUCAUGUUCACCCAAUGAAAACAUAUUAAGCUUCUCACAACCGGAAACACUAAUCCAUCCUGGUGAUGUGGAUAAAAUGUUGCUGGGAAUAUUUACACUUUUGAGAUUAGAACAAUGAUCUAAACAUAAACAACUGAGCUUGGUGAGGAAUAUCGAAGAGUGAACUUCAAUCAACUUUGAACAAUAACUCAGCUUUAUUUCUUCAAUAUUCGGUGACAGAGAAAGGUCUGGUAUUCUAGUAAGUUCCCAAGAUUUAACCAGGUCGAGCCUUUUCAAGUUGGGUAAAUUCUGCCAGAAAUAGUAAAUGAAUGAGGUAACAAAUAAAAACUACUUUAUCUAUUUUUCUUCCUAUUUAAACUAUUAGCUACUAUCUAUUGAGUUUAUAUUUUACAUUACUUAAAAACCACUGUUAAAAAAACCACACUGUGGACUAACAAAACUCUGCCUAUAAAUUUUAUAGUUAUUAUAAAAAAUCACAAAAUUUAACGUCUUUUUGUUCCCUACCUAAAAUUACAUCCUAAUCAUUUGAACCUAAACUUAUUAUGUAUUCAAAAACUUAUGAUAGUAAUUUAUAAUCGAUCACAAUGUCAAAAUACUUUAUAUUAUACAUGUAUCAACUCACAAAAUAAAUGGUGUUGUCUCAGAUUUAAAAUUAAACCUUAGUUAAAAAGUCCAUCUUUCCAUAAUUUAUUUUAUUAAAUACAUAAUUUGUAAUUUAUUGUAUAUUAUAUUCAAGUUUAUGUUAUGAUAAAAAAAGUAUCUAAGGCAUUUUUAAUUAAAUAAUAUAAAAUAAACAACAUGAACUCAAUUAAAUAAUAUAAAUUUUUUUGAAUACUCGAUGGAAUAAAAAAAUUAAUAAAACCCUCAAUUUGAAAAUAACCAAAUUUAUAAGAUACUUAAAACUUAAUUAAACCUACAAAUUUUCAUUAUAUGGAAUUAAAUAUUGUAAAGAUUUACCACAUAAGUUUCAUAAGUAGAAGGUUUAAACAUAAAAUUCUUCACGUUGGGAGUUUCUUUCCUCUAUCUUAUAAGUUUUCGUUGUUUCUUUAAUAUUUUUUAUAUGGCUUCUGUCAAUGUAAUUUUUUUUUUGGUUUUAAAAUAUUAUUAAAGAUAAAAUAUGAAGACAGGGUAAUUAAAUUAAAUAUAAUUUUUAUUUUUCAGAAAUGAUGAAAAUUAUAAUUAAAUUAACUAAAUUAUAUAAAAUUCCAUUUUAUUUACAUAACUCAUUUUCAUAUUAAAAAACUAUAUAAGAUCUUCCAAAGUAGAUAUAAUACAUUCACGGGCCAUUAGAUGAUAUGCCUAAAAAAAUAUGCAAACUAUUAAAUUUAUAAUUAUCUUUAAUUAGAAACAUGCUGAGUAUGACUCAAAUAAAAGAAAUUUCAAAUCGAAUAAUGUCGAGAAGGCACAAAGGAAUUGCAAAUGAAAACUUGUAUAUGUAUAAUACAGAAAACAUGCUUGUAUAAUUUAUUUUUAUCUUUGAAAGUUUAGAACACAAAGGAACAUAGAUAGCUUGAAAAACCUGAUCUCCUUCCCAGAGUUGUUCAAGAUGGCAGAAUGGCAUUUCGAGGGUCACUAGAUUUUGUGGGCAAAAGUUUGGAGGCCAAAAUCUUUGAGGGAAAUGUGUCCAAUAAAGAAUCUUUAGAGUGUCUGGCAUAUCCACAAGAGGUGAUUCAAAAGACACUUUUAAUUCCAAUCCCCACGUGUAGAGCCUAAGCACCCUAAGAUUGUUCAUCUUUUCGAAACUUUGUGCAUGUACUACAACUUCUUUUACUUUGAAAGUAGAUAGUGAUAUACACUCUAUUGAAGUAGAUAGUGAUAUACACUCUAUUGCAUCUGACCCCUGAAAGUAAAUCAUGAAAUGUUGCAUUGCAGGAUGUUUGAUGACAGCUCAGUGGUUUGCAAUUUUUCACAAAGUAAAUCCAUUCUCAAUUGAGUAACGACAUAAUACCUUGUUCUUUCUUAAAACCUCUCAAAUUUCCUCAGCAUUAAACAAUCGGCUGCGUUUUCCAGGAUGCUGAGGACACUCUUUACGAACAAUUUCUUUACCCAUUUCUUGUAUUAGAUCGUGCAUCACAAUUCUACCAUGAAAGACAGAUAUUAGGCCCCUAUCUUUGAGAAUAUCCAUUCCAAUCUUGGAAGAGAAACCACAGUCAGCAAGUAUUUCUGCUACCACAAUCUCUUGUGACCUAUAUAAAAGCAAGCUAUGUCAAGAAAUAUAUUCUUCUCCUCCUCCUCGAGCCCAUCAUAACUUAAUUUUAAUACAUUGAAAAUACCAAGAUGUUGGCCCUUUUCCAACUUUUGCAACUGACUCUCCCAUGCUUCUCUUGUUCUUCCAUAAAGCAAUGACCCCAAAAUCUGGAGAGCUAAUGGAAUCCCUUUUGCAUAUCUCAACACCUUUUCUGACAGUUCCCUGUAAGCAAUUUCUUCUGAAGAUUUUUGUUUAAAAGCAAGUAAACUAAAAAGUUUCUGAGAAUCAUCAAAAUUCAACUCCUUAACUUCGUAGAUAUCAUCAGCUCUAGCAUUCUUAAGCACUUGUUUGUCUCUACUGGUGAUAAUGAUUCUACUGCCCUGCCCAAAACUAUCACUCCCUCUUAUUAAUUUUUGAAGUUGAGCUGAAUCGGUAACAUCAGUUAGAAGUGGAACACGUUUGUAGAAGUGGAACACGUUAGUUGGUUAGUUGCCUUAAGAAGCGGAUCAUGUAUUUUUUCUUGAACGUCUAAAACAAGGCUGCUGGAAUCAAACUGCAAUUCCAAUUUGUGAUAUAUUUGAUCACAAAUUGUAGUUUUUCCUAUUCCUCCCAUGCCACAAAUGCCUAUGAUCCGAACAUCCGGUAAGUCAAGAUGCAACAAGGACUGAAUUCCUUCAAUAUUUUUUUCAAUGCCGAUGAUUCCUUGAUCAUAACUGAUGGAAUAACGAUUCAAUUUUCUCAAAAUAUCUCCCACAAUUCCUUCAACAAGUGUGUGUUCUGACCUGGCAGAUGAUUUAGAAAAUAAAGUAUAAGUAUUCAUGCACAAAAGCUAAAACAAAACUAAAGAAAAAUUCAGAGUCAAGAAGAGUGAACAUCAUUGAAUAGAUUCACAUAUUGAUUGUAGGACGUUAUCUUCGAAUAUUAGUGUGGUUGGUUUAGAAAUUGCAAAUCAAGAUCGCAGAAAUUCUACAGUAACCGGUAGUGACUUCUGAUACUAGGAAGCAGUCUUGUAGGUACAAAGUUAAGCUAUAAGAUGUGAUAUGGUUCAGAUCUAUGACCCACUACGAAAAAUGGAAAAAAGAAACACUUGAUUUAUGGUGAGAUGAACACAAUUUUAGUAAAUGAAAAGAGAUCCUGAUUAUCUAAUAAAUAUAAUGACCUGGUGACUUUUGAAUCCCAGCCUGAAAGUCCAGCAGCUUCGGUGAGAGCAUCCUUCCAUCCUUGCACUUUGUCGUGCUUAAAGUGCUGCUCAUGCUCAUCGAAUGCUUCUUUGUAUCUUUCUUCCUGCUUCCUAAUAGUUGACGGAUCCACCUUGUAGAAAACAGGUAUGACAUCCCUUCCAUAUCUCUUCUUGCAAUCAAGUAUCUUAGUGAGUUCAUUCAAGCACCAAGUGGAAGAUGCAUAGUUUUGGGAGAAAACGACGAUAUAAAUCUUCGAUUCUUCUAUUGCAGAGAGCAGUGCAGAUGAAAUUUCUUCGCCCCGGGGUAGUGUCUCAUCAAUAUAUGCUUCUAUGUUCUUCCUUUGCAGUGCUGGAUGAAGGUGGCUAAUGAAGUUGUCACGUGUGUCUUCCCCUCUGAAGCUGAGAAACACAUCAUGCUUUGUUAGAGAAGUGGACACGGGGAAUGAUGAAGAACUUCCUGUUUAAUUUCUUCGCCCCUGUUUAAUCUGUAAUCAAUAUAUGCUUCAAUGUUCUUCCUCUGCAGCGCUGCAUAAAGGUGACUAAUGAAGUUGUCACGUGUGUCUUCCCCUCUGAAGCUGAGAAACACAUCAUGCUUGGUUAGAGAAGCAGACAUGGCCAAUGAUGAAGGGUUUCAAUUUUCUCUGCAACUCUCAGAUCCCUUUGUUUGUAAGCAACUUGCAUAUAUUCUAUUUCUAUCACAAAUCAACUUUUGGAAAAGCCUUCAAUUCAAAAUAUGCUUCACAGCUUUAUAUUAACGUGCCUAGCUUUAUACCAUUCUUACGCAUUGGUAAAGAUUCUUCAAUAUCUUUACUCAAUUUGUUUCUUCAAUACCUUUUACACAUUCUUACGCAUUGGUAAAGAUUCUUCAAUAUCUUUACUCAAUUUGUUUCUUCAAUACCUUUUACAUAUAAAGAAUCGGAUUUGUUUAAUAUAUUUUAGAAAAUAACCAGUAAACAGAAAACUAGGUUAAUAUGACUAAAUGAAUAAAGAUAGUACUCAUAAAAAAUAUUUUAGAUUACAAGUGGUAUAACUAAAAUAAAAUAUUUUAUUUUUAAAAUAAAAUUUAUAAAUAAAUAAAAAAAUAUAAUUGUUUAGUUUUCGGUGUAAAACAAUAUUCAUUUUUAUAAAAAAAAAUCUUUUCUCUUUUAUUUUAUUUUUAUAUUUCUAAUUAGAGUAUUCUUGAGUUUGACAAUAGAAUCCUUUCUUUGGACUUUUGGAAUUAAAUAAAGAUGUUAAUUGAAAAAAAAAAUUGAAAUAGAAACUAAUUUAGAAACCAAAUUUCUUUUUAGUUUCUAAAAUGGUCUCUAAUUUAGUUACUAUUGCAACUAAUUGUUUUGGUUUCUAGAAAUUGGUUUCUAUUUCAUGAUUUUCUUGUAGUGUAUACUGAAGGUGUGCACCCCUAUGAAAUGUUUUUAUUUCUAGUUGAUGUGUGAUUUCCAAUAAUUAUAUAAAUUGAUUGUUAUAUGCAGUGUGAAGUUUAACCUUGAUUUUUACUUGAAAAAAUGGAUUUUAAUAUGAGGUAUGCAUGCUCUCAUACUCAAAUUCAAUAAGCGGAAUUUUCACAUGUCAAUAGAAUUUGAACCUGCAUAGUUUUGGGCACUCUCCACCUCAAAUUCGCUCAAUGUUUUUUCCUGCGUUUAAGCGAAAUUACAUGCAGAUUUUGGAGUACUUUCGGGCUUAAAAUUGCUCAAAGAAAUUUCCCUAUGGCAAGCAAAUUUAAGCUACAAUUGUUUGGGUGUUCUUUGCCUCAAAUUCGUUGCCUCAAAUUCGUUCAGCGAAGAUUUCUCUGGGCUUAAGCCCCAACUUCAUGGGCUCGAGCCAUUUUGACAACAUUUGUCAUCUUUGCUUAGAUAUCUUUUGGUUUGUUUUCUAUAGGUCAUGAAAUUGAAUUAAAUCUUUUGAAAUUUAACAUGUGUUUAAAAUAAGUAAAUCUAACAUUUAUAAUCAUGCAACAUGUGUUUAAUUUAUAAAAAAAAUAUAAAACAAAUACUCAUUAUAUAUUCAAUUGAUAUGUAAAAUUUUAAAUAUUAUGUGAUUAUUGUUGAUAUUUUGUAACGGUUUUAAAAAUAUAAACUUCUAUAUGAUUGAAUGAUAUAUUAUCGAUACAUAGUAAUUUCAAGUAAGGAAAUACUUUGUUAAGGAUAGUUAGGAUGUGUCUUGAUUAGUAAUACAUUUAGAAUAAGAUAUUUGACUCUAUUCACAUAUUAAGGUGGUGACAGUCAAAUGAGAUUUAUAUGAUUUGAUCUACAAUAUAAAAAAUCAUAAUCUAACAUGCCAUAUGAAUUAACCUUGUCAUAUUAGGUGAUUCUAUUAUGAUAUUCUUAUUCGCAUAGAUGUGUGAAUUUCACAAUGGGGUAUUAUAACAUGUGCAAAUUUUUUAGUCUAAAUCAAUGUACGAUUCUUUCAGAAAUAGGGUCAAGUGUACAUGUGGAUCUAAUUAGAUUUUUGACAUGAGUAAUAUGGAACACAAGUCAUUUAGAGACACUUAAUUGUUUAAUAUAUUAGGAAUGAAUGAAGUGUGAUUAUUCAUAUGAUUAUGAUUGAAUGAUUCAAAUAUAAAUUUUAAAAAUCAUUAACUUAGCCUAAUUUCUUGUUAGUAUCAUUUUUUUGUUAGUAUCGUUUUUUUUUUAGAUUUGUUAUGAUCGUGAGUUACAUGUGAACAUAUGAUGUUGUAUGUUAUAGGCCUCAAAAUUGAAAAUGAGAGAGUUUUUUCUUUUAAUUCUUUUGAUGUUUUAUUUUGAUGUAUAUAUUUGAUUAUGAUAUAAUAAUAUUACAAUGUAAAUGUUAUUUAUAUACUAUCACAUGGUAAAUUAAAAUUUAAUAAGGUAGUUAAGGAUGUUAUAAUUAUUCUUUUAAUUUAUUUUAUUUCACUGUAUAUUUAGGUGUAUUACGUAAAAUGUAUAGUUAAAAAAAAUAAUGUUAUUUUGAAAUUUAAGCUUUUGUUAAAAUUAUACCAUUUGAAAAGGAACACAGAACAAUCUUGACAAUUAUACUGACUUAGUACUUAUUUUAAUUUAUUAUAUUCAUGAGUAUUAUUUUUUUCUUAAACAUAAAUAUUGGAUAAAAAAUAUAAAUAACAUUUAUUUAUUUCAAAUUUAAAAAUCUUUAAAAUAAAUAUAAAUAAUAUUUUUAAUCAAGAUGUGUUUUUUAACAAUUUUUUUUAAUUUAAAAAUAAUUAAUUCGGACGAUGAUUAAAGAAAUAUUAACAAAUUAUUUCUGCGAUUAUAAUAAACCUUCAAUAAUUUUUGCACUUUCUAGCAUAUAGAAUAUGGAUCCUUUUGUGAUUUUUCUUUUCUAAAGUACAAUUGAUAUUUUAAAUGUUUUUCUAUUUAAUUUUCCUUUCUUAAUGCACAUAAAAAUUUCAGUGCACAAUUAUUACUCACCUUAAUUCAAAAUGGAAAUUAAAAUUCAAGAACCCUACUUAUAUAUUAAUAUUCAACGAUUUAAAAUAUUAGUAUGCAAAUUAAUCUUUCUUAAUAAUAUUUGUAACAAUUUUUAAUAAUUCAAUGUGAAAUAUGUAAUAAUUACUUUUCUAUGAUUCAGAGGGAAAAUUAUUCCAACUAGACUUUUACAAAUAUAUUUCAAGUGGUAAUAUGAUUUUAAACAAAAAUAGUAUUCUCCACAAAAAUAAAUAGUUACUGUUCCUAAUUAAACAAGUCACAUUCUUGAACAAAAUAUCAAAUAACAAGGAAUUAGACUAUGAAAUGAUGACCAAUUAUAUUAAACAACAUAACAUACAUUUCUCAAUGUACACAAGGUAUAAAUAAUACAAUAUCAUCCAAAACCUGUGUUCACUAUGUAAAUAAACCAUUUUUUUUGCCAUUACCUCUUUCAUGAUGAUGAUUUGUUUACUAGGGAUUGCAAUGAUAGGUCAUGAUCAAAACUUAGGCCUAAGACUAAAAAUAGAAUGAAAUGAGCAUGAAAAUAAAGAUAACUUUUGAGUGAGACACAUUCUUCCUUACAAGCAGCAAGUUCUUCCAGGUUAUCUUCUCUUCCUUCAACCGUAGCUGUGCAACCGCCUGUUGUUCAUUGCCACCAAUAUCUCUAGUGCCAAAACUAUGUUUUCCAAAAUUAGAGUUAUAUGGCUUUAUCUGUGAAGUCUUACCAGCCAUAAUGUUUUAUUUUACUGUUUUGUUGUAAUCAUGCCAAUAGAUAAAUCGUGGAUUUGUAAACCACGAAACACCAUUGAGUAUGCAAAUGGGUUGAAUGUGUUUUUGGAUAUUGCAUUUCAACAUGCUAAUGGUCCUGUAAUUAAGUGUCCAUGUGCAAAGUGUGGUUUCAAAAAGUGACAAACAAGGGAUGUAAUCCAAGAACACUUAACAUUUACAACUUUCCCUCAGAACUACAAAACUUGGUAUUUGCACGGUGAAAGACCAAGUGUAAUUGAGCCUAUGGUCACUACAAGUGUGCAUGUCAUUGAAGAUUUAUUUGAAUCUCAAAAUACAAUGGAAGACAUGUUGAAUGAUGCAUUCGAGUUUGCGGGACAUGAUGAGGAUACUGAAGUUGAUGGUUUGCAAACUAAUAUGGUGGGUGAUGAAGGAAUAUGAACUUUGAUGAAUUGAUGAGGGACAAUAAUGAACCCUUAUAUGAAGGUUGUACAAAGCAUUCGAAGUUAUCAUUCAUGUUGAAGUUGUACCAUAUCAAAUGCAUGAGUAGAAUGAGUGACAAAGCAAUGACCAUGAUUCUAGACUUGCUAAUGAACACAUUUGAACAUGCUAAGUUUCCUAACUUGUUUUAUGAGGCGAAGACUGUGAUUACCAAACUUGGACUUAAUUAUGUCAAAAUACCAGCUUGCCCAAAAGACUGAAUGCUAUAUUGGGGCGAAGACAAUGAAGGCUUAGAAGAAUGUAAACGGUUCAAAACGUCUAAGUGCAAAAAAAAAAAAAGAUAAGAAGCAAUUGCAUUACUUUCCAUUAAAACUGUGAUUGCAAAGAUUGUUUAUGAGUUCUAAGAUGAUUGAGUCUAUGACAAGGCAUGCAUCAAAGGAUAAUCAAGAUGGAUUGAUGAGGCAUCCUAGAGAUUCUGAGGCUUGCAAAUCAUUUUAUUGCAUCCAGAAUUUGUAAAUGACCAUUGAAAUGUACGAUUAGACUUAGCUGCUUAUGGCUUUAAUCCUUAUGAAAACAUGAGUAAAAACCAUAGUAUAUGACGAGUGGUUAUCAUCCCAACAAUCACCCUCCUUGGGAGUUAUGAAGCAAACAUCUUUUAUCCUCUACAUGAUAAUUUCUGGAAAACAAAUGGUAGAAAAUGACAUUGAUGUUUAUUUAAAACCACUUAUAAGCAAAUUGAAGGAGUUAAUAGUAUGAUCAUGUAAUUAUUAUUUAUAUACUAAAUAUUACGACAUAUAGUAAUUUAAAAUUUGAUAAGGUAGAUGAGGAUAUUAAAAUAUCUCUUUUAAUUUAUUUUAUUUUAUUGUAUAUUUAGGUGUAUUAUGUAAAAUAUAUAAUUAAAAAAAAUAAUGUUAUUUUAAAAUUUAAAGAAUCACGUAUAGAAAGAAACAUAUAACAAUCUUGACAAUUAUAUUCUGACUUAGAGAUACUUAUCUUAAUUUAUUAUAUUCAUGAGUAUUAUUUUUUUCUUAAACAUAGAUAUUGGAUAAAAAAUAUUAAUAAUAUUUAUUAUUUAAAUUUUAGAAAUAUUUAAAAUUAAAAUUAAAAUUAAAUAAUAUUUUUAAUUAAAAUAUGAAAAAAAUUCCUUAACAAUUUUUUUAAUUUCAAAAUAAUUAAUUCAGAGGAUGAUUGAAAAAAUAUUAACAAAUCAUUUCUGCGUUUAUAAUAAACCUUCAAUAAUAUUUGUACUUUCUAUCAUAUAGAAUACUUAAUGGAUCCUUUUGUGAUUUUUCUUUUCUAAAGUACAGUUGAUAUUUUAAAUGUUUUUCUAUUUAAUUUUCAUUUCUCAAUGACAAAUAAAAUGGUUCAGUGCACAAUUAAUUAUUCUCACCUUAGAUUUCAUUCAUCUCAUUCCAUUUCCACACUCAAAUCAUUCUCACAUUUUUUUCUACCUAUUUCACAAAGUUUUUGUUAAAAUAUGGAAAUUAAAGUUCAAGAACCCUACUUAUAUUUCAUAUUCAACAAUUUAAAAUAUUAAUAUGCAAAUUAAUAUUUCUUAAUAAUGUUAUUUUUAUGUAAAAAUUAAAAUGUAGUUUAGUCAUUCAUACUUAGAUGGAUAAAAAUGGUUUUAGAAAGAAAAAAAUAUGCAUUUUUUUGAAAGGUUAUCUAAACUCUAAACUCAUUGAUGAAUUAAUAAUAAUAAAUAAUAUGGAAUUCUAUACGAAUAGCAUAUAAAUGUUUUCUUGUUGAAACUGAUAAUUAAUUCAGUCUAGGGACAAUUAUCGCGGUAUUUGUUCUUUUAUUUUUAAUGUUUAAACAAUUAUAAAAUUCUGUUUUUAGAUAUUAAAAUGAUAGUUUUCAUUUACAGAUUAAAAUAUUACUUGUUUCUUUUAAGAUUUUUUGUAUUAUAAUUAUUUGUUGUCUGAAUUGUUUUGAUUUAACAUGUUGUUUUCUUGGGCUAUGAUAUUGUGAGGUUUUAUUACAUGCAGGUACGUGAAUAUUUUUUUUAUCCUAGUUGUAUAAAUCAGGAAAAUUGUUUUUCACAUUAUAAUAACCGUUUAACAACUCUAAAUAAUAAUAAAAUAUUAACUCAUAUUGUUUAAUUAAAGUAUAAAUUAAAUUAUUAAAUAAAAAAGUAGUAAAACUGGUUGCAGGAUGGGAAUAUGAUUAUUUUUAACUGCUAGCUCCUGAUUAUUCUUUUCUAAUAAAAAAAACACCAAUAGCAACAAAACAAGUUUUGACACACGUAGGUUUGGCAAUUGUUUUAAUAGCUGAAAAUAGUACAACAAUUUUUAAUUACCACAAACUGCAUCUUAAAUCAUAAAAAAUUAGCAUUUUGUUAGUUCAUAUAUAAUAAAAUUUCCAUAAAACAGCCAAUUGUAUUAAUUAUUAAUAAUGUAUUUACAAUUUUUUUAGAUAAUUUUUUUACUAUAAAGACAUUUAUUUGAGAUUGAAAUUGUAAUUAACACUUUUUGGUCAAAGAAUAAUAUAUUUCACUUGAUUUUUUGUAUUAAAUAUUUUGUAUAGCGCUGAGACAAAAAAAAAUCUCAUAUAAAUCCCUAUGUGCUACAAGUACAAUAUAACAUCCUUAAUGUAAGCAAUAAAAAUGAUGAAUACUCAAAGUCGUGUAAUUACGCAAAAGAAUCAAGUGAUUUUUAAAAGAACUCACAUGAUCAGUUUAAAUUUUGACGAUAAAAUACAUUAAUUAUAUAUAUUUAUUCAAAAUUUCAAUUAUAUUAUGCAUUAAUGGUUUUAUGCUUUUAGAGGAAUCAGAGAAACUUAGAAAAGCUCCUAAAAACUAAUGUAACCCUAUGAAUAGAAGAGAGCUAAAAGAAAGAGAAAAUGGAAGUGAGAAAAGAUGAUAAUUAAUAAACACGCUCUCUUCAUAACAUAGAGUCUUUAAACCUAUAUUCCCUCAAACAAUUAUAAAGAAUUAACAAUCACACUUUUAUAAGUCAUCACCCACAUGAAACAAAACAAGGUGCCUCAAUAUGAAUAAACCAAGAUUAAUAAGAAAUAUGAGGUUUCACUAACCAAGCUCAGAAUUUUCUGCUUUUAUAGCUCCAUGCACAAACCUAAUACAAUGAUAUGAUAUUCACUGCAAAUGCAACCCAAAUAUGCUAAAGAAGUUAAUGAAACCCAAAUAUAAAGAAUUUGAAGAGAAUGCAACUCUGGGACAACAGAGCACACCAUCUCAUGCUGAACAGAAACAUCAAACUAUAUCUAACAAUAACUAUACCUAUGUUUGCUUUGGGUCUGUUUUUAGUUUCAAUGUUACUCUUUAUCUGCAGGUUGGGAACAUAUCUUGAUGAAAUAUAGAAACAUUUUUAUUCAUAAUAUAUAUAAGGAUUACACAUUCAUAAUUAUUUCUUUCUGUCGUAGCAUUGUCUACCUCAAAUCACUGCAACUUUCUGUUGUUGGUAUUUGCAUAUCACGAUGGUUAUUGAGAAAUUUAGGAGUUUGCUGUUGUGUACCAGAAGUAAAAUAGAAGGUUCAUUUUUUGGUCAUCAUCAAUUAUUAAUGUAAAUAGAUAUAGGUGAAGGAGAUCAGUAUUAUGCAUUGUAUCAUGGACCAUUAGAAGACUAGGGUCACCAAUUGGAGGCAUUGGUAACUUUGGCUAGUAAAACUAAAACCAAAGUCCAUUUUUACAAAGCCUUGGUCUAAUUCACCUUAUAGCUGUACUUUUUCCUCCAUUUUAAUAAUAUUAAGUUUUCAUUUUCUAUGCAUAAUCUUGGGUAAUUUUCUUUUUAUAUCAAUGCUUGAAGUGUCAAAUUGUUACAAGCUGGAUUAUUAAGAAAGAAAAGAGUGCAUUCUGGAUGCUCGAAAGGGAGUGUUUCCUAGAAAAAAAAUGUGAUUUCAGGGUGUCCAGGCUCAGGUAGCAAUGGUAGGAGUUCCACAUUGAAAUGGAUGAACUACUUGAUUUAGUACUUUGGGACUCUCUCACCUAAUGGACUAGUAUUUUGGGUUAGCUUCUCUCCCCUUAAUGCUUAAGUCCUAAAAAACAGUUUUUCUGUUUCUAUUUAUCUUUUAGGGUGUGAUUAGGACCAUGAAGCAGUGGGUGUUUUUUCCAUUAAUGAACUUUGCCACUGCCACAGAUCACCUAGGUUAACCUAAUUAAGUCUUCUGAAUUGUAUUUUGUAAUUAAUUCUUGUAAAACAUGGAGUGUAAAAUUCAUGUACAUUUUUCUUUUCCUCUUUUGAUUUGGAUGUCAAACUAGCAACUUCAUGUUUUGUCUGGUUGGUCUAUCACAUUUAUGUAGGUUGUAAUCUAUUUUGCCUAAUGCAUCAGUUGCAGAUAGGUACUAAAUUAUCUUAGUUCGGAUACACCUUGCCAAUUAGAUUAAGAUCAAGAAUUUAAAGUGAAUGGUUCACUUCUGAGUUCUUAAAUGAGAUAAAAUGUUCAGAGAUACUAAAUCAUCGCCUUCAUUUGAAAAUUGGCGUGCCUAUUAUGCUUUUGAGAAAUAUUGAUCAAACCAACGGUCUUUGUAAUGGAACAAGGUUGCAAGUUAUUGAUUUGAAGAAAAUGUUAUUUGUGCAAUAGUUCUAACAGGAACAAAUAUUGGUGAUAAAAUCUUCAUUUCAAGAAUGAAUUUGAUCCCUUUAGAUGUAGGUAUGCCAUUCAAAUUCCAGAGAAGACAAUUUCCAAUAGCUUUAUGUUUUGCAAUGACAAUUAAGAAAAGCCAAGGUCAAUUAUUGACCAAAGUUGGUUUAUAUUUUUCACAUCCAAUUUUCACACAUCGAUAGUUGUAUGUAGCUAUUUAUAGAGUUCGAAAGAAAAAAGAUUUAAAAAUUCUAACUCUUGAUGAAGAUGGAAUGCAACAAACAAGAAAAAGAAAAUGUUUACACUGAAAUUUUUGACAAUAUUUGAAAACAAUAGAAUUAUAUGAUAAACUUGGAAUGGCUAAUUCUCCCUGCAACCAAUAUUUUUGAACCUGCAACUUUUAAAUUUUUGAAAAUGCUCUUUAUUCCAGAAAUGAAAAUAAUACAUUACAAAAAAAAUAGAUCCAAAAAAGAUUAUUGUGUUUUGGUAAUAAAAAUCGGAAAACAAAAAUCAAAAGCCCAUUAUGAAUAAGAAAAUUCGUAAUACAAAAAAUUUGGUCUUAAAAACAAAAUCUGAAAACAUAUUCCAGAAAGAAAAUCCGAAAUGUAUUUUUAUAUAUAACCCAUUUUUUCAAGGGAGUUUCGUCUUUUCUAUUGUAAAAGGGGUUGGAAUUUGCUCCCUUGGAAUUAUAGUUUCUUAUGUGUGAUGUAGUAACAGUUGCCUUAUUUAAAAUGUUACUAAAUAACAUAUAAUUUAUAUCUGUUAUUUUUAUUCUGUUAUGACUUUAUAUAUUUGUCACAACAUGAAUGAGGCACAAACCCAUCUCAUGUUAACGAAGUUGAGAAUUUUCUGAUUUUACAGGUCCAUGCAAAAAUCUAAUAUAAUGAUAUGAUAUUCAAUAUCAAGAGGUACUUGUCGUAAAACGGGGAAUAUGAGAGACUCCAUAGAAUGAAGAAAAAGUAUAAAGAGGAUUUACAAAUUAACCUUUCAAAUGCAGCUCCUCAGAAUUUCAUAAUGCCUUCACUGCAAAUGCAACCCAAAUAUGCUAAAGAAGUUAAUCAAACAAUACAUGAGGAGUUUCAAGAAAAUGCAACUCUGGAACAACAGAGCAACCCAUCUCAUGCUGAACAGAAACAUCAAACUAUAUCUAACUUAGAAAUCUUUGUCAACAAUUGAACGAACCCACUCCUUAAAUACCAUUGAAAAUGUAAAUAAAACAAAAUAAAUUAAAAACGAGAAAUUCAUAAUAAAAAUUAAACGUGUUGAACCCUGUAAUUUAGAAGUAUUAACGAUAAGGCAGUUUAGAUCCUCACCAAUGAAAGAGACUAGCUGACUAGGUAGCUUUCGGCCUUCCUCUUCCUAUCUUCCCUUGUUUCUCUUGAAGACUCUGCAAUAUUGCUUCCAUUGGAUUGUUCAAAGUCAACAGCACCACCAUAUUUAUCAUCUUUCUUUUUCGUAUAAAGAGGGCAUAUGCCGCAUUCCUUUAUUGUGAUACCUGAUUUCAACCGAAAGUGAUAAUCACACGGACUGAU